rnacentral:lncRNA from 1 species
UUUUUUUUUUUUUUUUUGUACACAGUUUAAGAAAAAGUAGUUAACUUUGUUGAAAAAACAAAUUUAGAUUGCUAUUUUUCUAAAAUACCCUUACAUUAAAUACAGUUGGCUUUCAUAUAUCAAUAUGUUUUGGAAAAUUUAAAUACAUUAAUUGGGAUAGGUUAUAUUCAACACUAACAAUUUAUAUUAAAUAAGGUAGUUUAUACUUUAUAGUAAUAAUAACUUACAUUAAAUAAGGGUAUUUUAGAUAAAUUAAAAGACAACUACAUUCUUCAAUUGAAAAAUGGACUAUAAUUUGGGACAGACGAAAAAGGAAAACAAAACUAUCAAAGUGAGACGGAGGGAGUAAUAGAAUGAGACGAUGGAUUGUUGGUCUAGGAUUAGAACUACUGAUAUCAUGUAUUGACUAUUGAUAUUGGACUCUAAAUUGACCAAAUAGGUUUAGAUAGCAAAUAUUUGUUUAGACAGUUUAAAUAGGUCCUAAACUACCCGUUCCGAUUUCAGUUCAAAUUUUUGGUGAAUUUGAAUCUAAACCUUUACUCAUAGUUUUGGUUUCGUUUCCAGUUUUUCAAAGUUCAGUUUCGAUUCCGAUUCAACAAAUUAUCGAAUCGAUUCCAAUCCGAUUUUGAUUCAAACUUGAACCAUAGCCACCCCUUGAUUUAAUUAUAUCUAACUAUGUGAAGAUUUAACCAUACUUGAUUAUGAUAAAAAAAAAGUCCAAAUUCAAAUUAACAAAUAUUAGAAAAAUCAAGACAAAAUAAGAGCAAAAUUAAAAAAGAACAAAAUGCCAAGAAAAAUGUGUAACCGUCACUAUCCUACUAAGACGGUAGGAACCGAUGCAUUCACACUCAUGGAAAUCCAACUGGGGUCCAUCUACCAUUAAUCCCAGACGAGUACGGACAAGAUUUCCAUGCCAAUUAUACCCUUCUAUUUACAAAUAAGUACAACAGUGCCACUGCUGCGUCUUUCUUCCUGUGCAUCCAUCCCGGUAGCCACUCUGUCACUCUGUGCGUAAACUCUCCACUCUCUCGUUGCUGUCAUCAUCAAUCUCUCCCAAAUUUCAGUGCGUGACUGUGUGUGAGCUCUUCCGUGGUGGUUUCGAUCAUUUUCAGGUACAAUGCUUUGGUCUUCACUUCGCAAAAUUUCAACUUUUUACUGUUAUUAGUUAUAUCAUUAGAGCUCAGUUGAUGGAGUUGGUGAGGAAAGAUGGAAUUUUUUUUGGAUUGUCUUUUUGGCUGUGUGAGUGAAAUAUGAAAAUUUUCGAACUAGUGAAUGUAUUGUUGUUUUCUUCAGUUUGGAACGAGUAAUCAUAGUUCUGCAUUGCUGAAUUGUUUGAUGUUGCGUUUAUGUGAUCAAGGCCGCCUAGAUGAUUGAUAUAACUGGGGAUUUUUCUGCUUUUUUUUUUUUUAGUGUCUUCUUUUUUGAAUUCUGAUUUUUUUCCGAGCAAUUAAAUUUGUGCAUGCUUGUGAAUAAUGUGCAAAUGAAUAAGUGGACGUGUAAAAUUAUCUAUUUUUUCUUUAAAUUUGAUUUUUCUAUGUCUAUGUUGGAUACAAAUGAUUAUACAUGUGUGUGUGGGGAAAGUGUAUCACUUGCAAGGAUCUUCUUCCCUAAUGCUACAGAGCAAUGGUACCAUUGGGGUGAGACGCUUGUCGCAGUUGAUCAGCACCUUCUCUAUUACUGUUAACAACUCAUCCAUAUUGUCCCCCACAUCCUUUCUUGCUAGAUGAUAUUUCUGCCUAAAUAUUCAGUAUUUGUUUUAAACAAAUUUGUGCAUGUAAUUAGAUAAAUCAGCUUGAUAUGGUGAUUAUAGGUGUUCUUCAAUUAAUUGCUCUUCCAAUUACAGCAUGACACUGCUAGUUUCCAUUUAGUACUAAAUGAAAAAGUUGAAAUGAUACCUGUAAGAUAGAGGGAACAAAGGCUAUGUUCAUUCCUAUUACAGUUGCCUUUCAUAUCUAUUGUUUCCAAGCUGCUGCAUGAUAAGAUAAACUAGCCCUCAUGAUCCAGAGGAUAAAGCUUUUCUCAGUAUACGCUGAGUGAUCAUAAGUAAUGGUGGAAACAGUAUAAGAGAAUUCAUGAAAUGACUCCAAUGUUUCAGAAAGAUUCCAUAUAUGAUAACUCAGUAAGAGACAAUGGAAAGCAUGAAAGUUUGCUUUUAACCAAAGACUCAGUUUUGGAUUAGACUCUCCAACUGUGAAAAUUAGACAGGAGGAAAAUGCUGACCAAUGACUUGGAUGUAUGAUCUUCAUGCUAUCAAGGUAUUAUAUAAUCUGCAUGCUAGCAGGAUCACUGUUGCAUGGGAUGAACUAUCUUGUUCUAAGUUAAUGCUGAGAUGGCCUUUUAAUCAUCUUUCUUCUUUUGAAAAUCCGGAUGUGUACACUACUGAUAUUCAUUUAUUUACAGAUUCAACAGCGGAUAUCCGUUGGAAACAUGUUCUCUGUAUGACCAAAAUAUUUUAUCAUCAUAUUUUUGUGCUCAUAUUGCAGGUCGGAAUUGACUAAGACUAUGGAUUCUUCUCUCUGGGAUCCACCAAUUUGUGAAGGUUGCUCUGCCUUGUUAUUUUAUUAGCUAAAUGAUUCAAGUUACUACUGGUGGUUGUUUAGACUGAAAAAAUUACUAGAACUCUGUAUAGAUUCAAAUUUUAAAAGAUGGAAAUUUUCUAUUUCACUAAACCUAAGUUCUUAUUUUUGUUUGUGUAAUUUUUGGUUACAGAUGACAGUGCUGAUUUUACAGGAAAUUGGCAGUCUGAUUUCUCCUCUGGUGUGGGGCGCGGUUAGUUUAUCCCCUUUACAAUGUUUGCUAAUCAGUUUCUUUGGAGACUUUUUUUAGACUGACUUAAGGUCCCCUCUGUUCCGUUAUAUGUAUGUCAUAGAUGUCAUGGAAGAAGAUGCUAUAAAUGAAAGGUGUUGUAUCGAAGUGCUGAAAAGACUGAUACCUCAGGCUGAUGCCGAGAUAAAGGAACUUGAGGAAGAAAUUGUAUUUCUUCAGGCCCAAGUGGCUUUGGAAGAUGAUGCUUGGGCUAAGAAAUGCUUUGAUACUUUGACGGAGAGGAUCAAGGCGCUAGAUAUCUCGAUUCAGAGAUUGAAGAAUGAAAAAGUGCAACAGCAACAAGGACAGGCGUCUAGUUCCCAAACACAUGGAGAUCCUGCUCAGAAUGAAAAGCAACAAACAGAAAAUGAACUAAACUUUGGUUUCCAAACAGAUGGAGAUCCUGCUCAGAAUAAAAAUCAACAAACAGAAGAUGAAUUGGAUGUUUGUUUUCAAACAGAUGGAGAUCCUGGAAAAAUUGAAAGCCUACAAACAGAGGAGGACCUUGAUUCUCACAUCCAAACAUGUAAGGAACCUUCUCAGAACCAAAAAAUACAAUUGGAACAUGAGAUGCGUGUUCUUUGCCAAACACAUCUAGAACCUGCUCAGAUUGAAAACCUGCAAGCGGAACAUGAGCGGGAUUUUAAUUUCCAAACAAAUGGAGAUCCUGGUCAGGAUGAAACACUACAAAUGGAACAUGAAAUGGGUGUCCCUCACCAGAAACAUGGAGAACCUGCUCCGAAACUGAGUGAAAUACUAAAAGCUCUUCUGGAAAAGUACUACUUUCCAAACAGAGAUAAGCAGGUUUGUGUAAUACCUGAAUUUUAUCCUGUUGCUCUGCUGCCCCACUAAGCAAGUUGGCAUGGUUAAUUGAUUAGACAUAGUUCGCUGGAUUUUCUUGUUUGUAAAUAAGUGCACUGGUUGAUGUGAAGCUGCUGAAAACCUGUUCUGGAUUAUUUCUGCUCUGGUUAUUCUGUAACGUGUCCUGUCACUGUGCAGAAUAUGUAUAAAUUUCCUAUCCAAUACCUGAAGAUAUCUGAGACCUUAGCUGCUAAAUGCUUCAUACCACGUUCACUGGUAUUAAGCAUCUCAAAAGCCAGAUAGAUGUAUGACUGAAAGAGUUAGGCUUGAGUGUAUAUUACCGGGUGAGGUAUUUGAGAACUUAUUCAAAGUAACUUUCAGGGAAAGAAAACCUUUUCUUUUGCUCUAGGACCAAUCAACAUUUUUUUAAGAAUUAAGGAAGUAAAACAGCUUCAUCGUUUACAUGAACUGGAUCAGGUGAACAAAUCACUUUUCUCUUCCUCUUGUUCAUCACGUUUUCUGGGGAAUAAUGGUAUGGGCUAUUGCGGAUUUAAAUUAUAAUCAUGACUUUGCAUGCCAACGUGAUGUACUUUUAAUUUAACAUCUUCUGCACUUUUUGUAUAUGGUAUUGCUGGCAAAUGUGAUGUUAAAUACACCAUCUUUACCUAUAUGUAUCACUGGACAUUUGAUGUCAUCUUGGUGUUUUGGGUGAUUUGGAAUUUGUAUUUAUUUCUUGUAAGACAACUUCUUCCCUAUUUGUGGAAACCUCCAUUACAGAGUUCAAGUUUCAAUGCUGAGAAGCUCGCCGCUCUCCAGUCCACAGAUGAGACCGGCUCGAGCAAUGCUGAAGCAGUAGCCUGUGCUGCCAAAUCCUUGAAAGAGGUUUCUGAACCUUUUAAUCUGGAAGUUUCAGAGGAUGCGGAAGAGAAAGACCAGGUAAAGACAACCUCCUUACAUUAUUUUGCAGUUCCUAGCAUGGCUGCUCGGCGAAAUCUGUCAAGUGCUAACUUGUGACUCAUUUAGACUACAAGAUAUCCUUUCUUUUUGUUACAUUUUCAUAUUGGUUUUCUCCAAACAAUGAUCAGAAUGGAGAUACCACAAUCAUCAACUCGUUCCCAAAUCUUUCUGAACAUGCAAGUGAAGUAUCCACCAAGAGAAAAAUGAUGGAGAUUGAUUCAAGCAUUGAGAUAGCACAUGGAACACGAAUACAUGAUUCAACAACCAAGGCAGUGAAGAGGAUGUAUACCCCAGACAUUCAGAAGGUACCUACCAAUCAGUAACAAAGUUAGGAAUCAAUUACUCCAUAAAUGUACAAAUUUUCUUUUGACUUUGCUAACCUCAUGUAACAAACAGGAAGCAACUGCCAUGAUGAUGGAUACCAGUGCGAAUGCCUUGAGCCACAUAGCCGGUUCAAGCAGUGGAACAGUGGGCUGCAAUCUUUCUGAAGAAACAGGCGGGGCAGUCACAGUACAGAAUUUCGGAAUUGAAAGCACUAAGUUGAAGCCAUCUCCAAAUCCCGCAGAAACCACUAUUACAGAAACUGAUAUGGUAUGAGAUGUUUCUUAUGUAUCAAACUGAUAAACAAGUUCGGCCUAAUCAUUUGUGAGACUCUUGGUUUCUGGCUUCUUUAGUUUGAUGUAAGCGACAGUGAUGUAUCCUUUCUUCUUGUUACAUUUUCAUGUUGUAGACGUGACUUAUCAGUUGUACAUAUUAUUAUAUUAUAAAUAAACAUAUCUUAUAAUAACUAUAUUUAAAGUUAAUUCUUGUGAAGUCACUCCGUAUGAAAUUCUCAAUGCAGGUCAAAAUAGGAUCGAUAUAUCAUAUUUAAAUAUCUAAACGAGGAUGUAGAAUAUCUGCACAAUGUGCAAAACGAAAUUAUGUGCGUUAAUGUAUUUUUUUUUCUUUUCUUGAUUUUUUUUGUCUAUUGCUUUUGUAUUCUGAUUCAAUAAAGAAAUAAUUUUUUUCCUAUAAAAUUACUUGUUAAAAUCCUAACCAAUGGAGACUUUUGGCAAAAAUGGGAUUUUGGUUUUUCACAAAAUUUUUUUGCCCCCUACAAAGUAUGAGGAGGAUUCAAUAUCUACACGAUUAAAUUUUCAUUUCGAAGAUGAUUCUUAUAUGACUAAGAAACUGUGUUGCAUCUUCUUUUCUUUUCUUUUUUUUUCAGAGCAUGUUCCAGCUUGCAGAUAUCGAUUCAGUUUACAUGACAGAUCCCGUAAAACAGCAGGCCGAAGAGGUUGAUAUAACCAACUGGAUAGAGACGGAGUUUCCCCCCAUAACGAAGCAAGAAGAUUUGUGGCUUUCUGAUUUCGGAUGGGCAUUUGGGGAAUCAUCUUCACAGGUGUUCAAUAGCACCUCCAAAGAGGCAACGGAGCCAUUGAUCAAGAAAGGCGAAGAGUCGGGCAAUCUCCAAGCCGCUCAGACGAUGCAUGAGGGAAGGAUGGAAGGUUUGGUCAAGGUGGAAAUCGAUCCGGUCUCCAGCUUUCAUGCAGUGAACGAAUUUGGAGUUAAGAAGUCCCUCAAGUUAGUCUCUUGUACUACGUCAGUGGCCACAAUGAAUCUCGAGUUUUUGACAAUGGCUCAACUCAGAGCCAUGGCAAAGGCACGCAAGCUCAAAAGAUACUCCAAACUCAACAAAAGUGGCUUGAUCAAGCUUCUUGAGGAGUCACUUUAGAAAAGGAACAAGUCUGAUAGUGCAAUAUGCUUCCAGUAGCUAUAGAAGGUGCAUGAACUCAUUUUUACUUCGGUUUUUUAGCCAUUUUACAGACAAUGCCAUUGUAAACUUUAAGAAUGUGUAAGUGUGACUUAUCUAGACAAAAUUUUGAUGAUUUUGGGUACUCUGAUAGCUUUUUUUUCCCCAUGGAGCUUGAUAUUUGACUGGGCAAUAAUGUUGCUGGUGAUUUACUCGCUUGGAAAACUGCAUAUGGAUAAUAUUCACGAUAGUGCAUUCUUCGAUUCUGUGAAAUUCCACACUUUUUGUGGUUAUAAUUCAACUGCAGGCAGGUGGCAAUUCAGCAGAUUAAGUGGUAGCAACUCCCCCAACCGUUAUCAGCAAAUCUAUUGAGUUGGCUUAUGAUAAAUAGUAGUUGCAGAAGCAACUCUUUUCGUGUGUGACAAAUCACCAGCAGCUACAGAAAAACCAGGGGCAUCACCUUUUUCUCUCAGAUCGAUCUUCUAAACUAAUCUGUUGUUUAGCAAUAUCAGGGAAGUUACAAAGCCAUUUUUAGCAGUAUCAGGGAAGUUACAAAGCCAUUACCGUUUUCUCUCAAGGAUUGAUACAGUCAGCACUUGCUCUCCUUUAGCUUUCAGAAAGUAUCAAUCUGAUUCUGGAUGAAUUCCAUGUUAAAGCUUAAAGACAAAUUUACAGAAUGAGAGUAUUGUCAGGAUUGGGAGUUUUCAACCGAGUGAUGAGUUGGGGAUUUAUCUUAUCAUUUUGAAAUCAUGUCAAUCAAAAGCCAAAACAAUCUGAGACUUACCUCCAUUUAGUAGUCCAAACAGAGACCAUUUGCAGUUUCCUCAUUCUCAAUAAAUGAACAGCCCUAAACUGAUUUCACAUGCUACUCACAGAUAAGUCUUCUAUAUACUGCAGAUAAGUGAGAGCCUCUAGAAUGGUUCCACCUGACACUAGCAUAAAAAUUUGAAGGAAGGAAAGUAUUUGCAGUAACGAAGGUAUAUAAGUGACCCUUUAAAUUUGAAGAAAGCAAAAAAAUAAACCAUUGGAGUUUGUCUGCUGCUUUUGAUCAUGGUACACUUUCAGGUCACAAAAUGGAAUAUCAUUCUUCCCUGCAAACAACAAUAAAACACAAGAAACCAAACAAACAAUUCUUAGAAAGAAAAAUAAAACACAACAAAAUUUAGAAAAAGAAAAGUGUGAAAAAAAAAGCAGUUUUCAAGUUUUGGCACUUGAAUAUUUUCCCAAUCUCAACCUAUCCCAUAUCUAGACUCAUCCAGAACUAACAAAAGUAUUUCUCUUCAGAGGCAGAAUCUAAAACUCACCUUGCUGAAAGAUUAUGGGCAAUGCCAGAACUUUACAACACACGAUGGUCAAAAGUAACAAGAUAGAAAUAGGAAGUUGGUGAUUCUUUUUUCUCUUUUUCCUUCUUCACUGCCUUGGUUCUAGAAACUAUUCUGAGAAAGCAUCCAGUAUUGGACCUAAGACUAAAUCGCAUCACCAACUCUGUAACACACUAAAAGUCUGCAGCAUCUCCAGUUUGGACCAUUUGUUAGAUUGAAAUCUGCAAUUUCUUUGGAUGAGAAUUGCAUAGUUAUGGGCUUCUAGAUAUUUUCUCCAACCUGAGUUUUUACUGAGGCAUUUUCACUGUAGAAACCAAUUCCUAAUUUAGAACCUUGGUCCCUAGAUACCAAAACCACAAAAUUCUUGUUAAGAUAGCAAAGUUCAUAUAUUCUUUCUGACUAAAUAUCAUGCCCAACUUAAAAACUAAGUGCUAAAAAGGGUAUACAUAAAAUUUGUAAAUGAAGACCCUAGGGUAAGCCUAUCCUAACUACUAAAAUGGCUUCUUAGGAGUUAAGAGAUGCCAUGUUAAAGCUUGAAUUUUCAAAGUAAUCUCUGCCACCUUUUUUCUUUAUAUGCCCUAGUUGACUGUUGCCUUCUGUCUUUGUCACUCACAAAGGAUAAAACAGCUUGAAUGACCUCCUCUUGUCAUGCUUCCUGGGAAGCAAAGUAAUUGCCUUGCCUGCUCAGUCAGCUCAGUAGAUUUUUGACAUUAUGAGACUUUAACAGCGUGUUCCACAUUUCAGCUCGGUAGUCUCCAACUCUUUGACUGGUUCUCUCUCCAUUUCAAUUAUGCCAUUUAUUCUUUCCAAUUGCAUUCGACAAUCGUAUUUUGAUGUGGUGGAAGUGAAUUGAUAUUCAUUUCGAUUAUAGUGCAGUUACCUUCCUGUUAGAAAAGAGUAGCAUAUAGUUUGAAAUCUCUGGUGUGCUUCACAAGCACAGAAACAUCUUUGUUUGUACAAAUAAACAUUUAUCCCCUCCUAGCUACUUAUUUGAUAUCAAGAAAUGGAGUGUUAGAUGUUCAAGGAUGGGAAUUGGUUCUCAAGGUUGCAUCCAUGUGGUCCUUAAAUUCUGCAAUGGCAGGACCACCGAGCACAGAGUUUUCAGUAACCUGUAAUUAUAUAAAUUCUAAUAUAUAUACAUGAAUCAUGAUAACUUGGAGUACUUCAGUCUACUUUCUGAUUUGCAUGUGUCUAAAUGACAUUACUGUCAUUAACUUAUUAAAGUUAGGGGUUGAAUUAAUAAGGUUUGUAGAGAAGAUGUUUAUUUUUUAGUGCAACUCUUGUAAUUUUUCCGUAAAUGGGGAUUUGAGUAGAGUAAUGCUCUGAAUAUCACCUCUGGAUGUUUGACUCUUUCGAUUUUAACCAAUGACUAAUCAAAUCCAAAUGAUAGAUUAGAGAAAUUAAGGAAAAGAAACGGAGGUAAGAAAUUAGUUUACCUGUCGGGAAUGGAUAGUAAAUGUAGACCUUUUCAAAGCAAAUGUGGUUCCAGGUCAGUGACAGAUGUACUCACUGUUUGUUUGGAGCCAUUAGUGUGGAGGAAGAUGACUGAAAUGUGUGUUCUCUGCUUUUUCUUUUGUCUCAUUAGAUAAUUCUUGAAGUUAUCCCGUGCAAUUUUCUUUCUAAUUGUAGCACUCAUUAUAAUAUCAUUUGGAAUUUGCCCUGGGUAAUUUAAUGCAUUACGACAUGAAUCUCUUUGGUUUAAUUAUUCUCAUAUUGGGUAUGUACUUCUAUUCUUUGCAACACAUUAUUAAUGUUGAGACAAAGUGGUCAUAAUGCCCUGUUUCCUUGGUAAGUAGUAGAUCUUAUUUCGAGUACUAUACCAAUUUAGCAUCUGAAUAUAGAACUUUUUUUGGGGUUUUUCUUUUUUGGUUUUUUUUUGGGGGGGGGGGGGGCUGUGGGGAGAGAAAGAGAGAAGGAAAAAAAGAAGAGAAUCACCAACUUCCUAUUUCUAUCUUGUUACUUUUGACCGUCGUGUGUUGUGGCAUUGCACAUAAUCUUUCACAAAGGUGAGUUUUAGAUUUUGCCUCUGAAGAGAAAUAUUUUUCUUAGUUCUGAAUAAGUCUAGAUAGGGGUUAGGUUGAGAUUAGGAAAAUAUUUAAGCGCCAAAACUUGAAAACUGCUUUUUUUUUCACCCUACAGCCCCAACCCCCCCCCCCCCAACCUUCCCACCAAAAAAGAAUCAUCCCAAAAAAAUUCUAUAUUCAGAUGCUGAACCUGGACAUUUAUCAUAUCAAAAUUUGAAGUACUCAAAAUAAGAUCUACUUACCAAUGAAACAAGGCAUUAUGACCAUCGUUUCAACAUUAAUAAUGUGUCACAAAGCAGAGAAGUUUGUCUCUAUGCCCAAUAUCAGAAUAACUAAACCAGAGCGAUCCAUGUAGGAAUGAACUAAAUUACCCAAGGCACAAAUUCCAAGUGAUGUUAUAAUGAGUGCUACAAUUAGAAAGAAAAUUGCACACAAUAACUUCAAGAAUUAUCUAAUGAGACAAAAGAGAAAGCAGACAACACUCAUUUCAGUCAUCUUCCUCCAUGCUAAUGGCUCCAAAAAAACAGUAAGUACAUCUGUCACUGACCUGGAACCAGACUUGCCUUGGAAAGGUCUACAUUUACUAUAUCCAUUCCCGACAGAAAAACUAAUUUCUUACCUCCGUUCCUUAAUUUUCUCUGAUUUAUCAUUAAGAACUAAUUUGGAUAUGAUUUUAGCCAUUGGUUAAAAUCGAAAGAGUCAAACAUCCACCUUUAUAAACCAGGCUAGAGUCAUAGGCUGACAUUCAGAGCAUUACUCUACUCAAAUCCCUAUUUACGGAAAAUCAACAAGAGUUGCACUAAAAAUUAACAUCUACAAGAGGUUUACAUUGAACGUGCGUGCAAUCAAGAACUGGAUGGUUUCUAGGAAAAAUCUCUAGAAAUUCUUUGUUCCUCCUUAUUCCUGCUUACGAAUUUAAUACAUUUUUAUCCUUUCUGAGAAGUUGGCAACAUUCUAUUGCCAUCCUUUGCAUGAUCUAAACACGAACCAGUAUUCUGAGACACCUUUUGGAGUACCAACAAAUUUCUGCUGCAUCUAAAAAAGCUCUUAUUAGGCACACCCUUCUUAAAUCCUACUCCCCCAGGGGAUCUCGCGCAUGCAGUCUUGCAAGGAUCUUUCUGAUGAAGCUUAUUUGAGGUUUUUCAAAAUACUUCUCAUUUGCAGGGGUAAAGACUUUUAACUCACUAACUAAAUCGCUAAAAUAACAAACUGGAAGUGCAGACAUUCAAAAGUAUCCUGGAAAUCUAAAAUAUUCCAUUUCAAGAAAUCUAAGAUAUUUAAUUUGCAAUAUAAGCUUUUCAAAGUAUACAACUCCCCCAAAUUAACAUGUUAUGCCAUUUUGGCAAUUGUUUAUAUUCCAUUUCAAGAAAGUGGGUAUAUUCUAGUAAUAAAGAAAUAGCUCGAUUUGAAAGUGAAGUUAUUUAAAAGAAUAACUAAUUAAUCAUGUAAGUAGAAGGGACAAAACAAGAGUGGGGCUACAUGAGACCAACCAAGUUCCCUCCAUUCCAAGUAAAUAGGUUAAUAUCCAGAUAAAACUUGAGAAACUAGACUCCAUAACUACUCAUCAGCAUGAGCUACACAUCAUUCUCCCCCAUCACCACAGUACAACCACCCAGAAGCAAAAAGUUCAGCUUUUCACCCCAAAGAGAUGUUUACAGCUGGUUAAGUGCAGUUCCCAGGCAUGCAGUUCUAUUUUCCAUAUAAAUGAUAAAAAGGACACUGCUAAUCUAGUAAAUAAAUGGUGUAGGUAGCGUCCACCUUUACAUAAGAAUGCCCUAGCCACGUAUUAACAUCAAGACAAAAUGAUCAUGUUACAUAUGUAUACUAAUAAUUGUCAGCUCUCACUUGGUGACUAUAGAAUCAUUUGUAUAAUUCUGAGUAAAAAAAAUUCUUUCUUCAGUAAGCUAACAGCAUAUUUACCCUUCUCGCUUUUUCUUAUCCAUGUUUGUCCUUUUGUAGUUUAAAGGUGACUGAGAAGACAAAAGGUCAGAUGCCUGAAGAAUCUAACAUGUGGAGUCUCAAUUGAGAUAAUAGAGGUCUGAGAUGAAGAUCAAAUCUCUCAUUUAUUUCUCCUAGAAACACACUUGCUUCUUUAUGUAGGUUCCCAAAAAAGAAUCCCUAAAGCUUAAUCUCCACUUUCUAAAUUUUUUGACACAAUACAGUAUGAUGCAAGAAACACUUGUGAACUAACGUAUCAAUGGAAAACCUAUUCAACUUCAUUCAAUGGGCGAUAGUGACUCACAUGCUUUAUCACGAUGAUCAUUUCCAAAUAGGGUCCCGCAUUUAAAUUUUUGAGUUUUUCAUUCAACAAGUAACCCUGACUACCAUAUAGCGUUUCUUCAUUUAAAUACAGUGUUUGCGUCAAAAGGAACUGCAGCUAAGUGCUAACUGCAAAUCUUAUCUGUUUCUUAUUCUUGUUUGUUCUAACUGCUGCUCCCUCCAUAAAAUUACUAUCAACGUAUUUAUGAUGUUAACAAGUCAUUUUCCCGUUUUGCUUAUCCAAGCAUAUUCUUCUACAUCGUCCUAGGUCUUGUGAUAAAGUGACAAAGAUUGGAGAUGGAUAUCAUAAGUCAUAAGAUCCAACCUCCUUGUAUUCACUUUAAUUCUCUGUAGCCAAGUUCUAAAAGUGGAUUCAAUAUCUCACUCUAGUAACCUUGAAGAAUGUUCUCCUCAACCAUUUCAGAAGCAAGUACAGUUUAUGAAAUAACAAAGUCAUCCAAAGUCAACAAAGUUCUCAAACCUUGACGACAAUAGUAAACUAGUCUGUCUAUUCUCCUUACAGUAACCUUCAAAAUGUUCUCCUCAACCAUUUCCGGACCAUGUAUUAUUGGUAAAAUAUCUAAAGCAUCUGAGGUUAUCAAAGUUCUUAAACAUUGAAGAUGGUUCAUAAAUGCUUAGUGUUACCUCACUUAGUGUUACAGUUCUUAAACAUUCUAAGUGAGGUAACACUAAUAACCUUUUAGGUUAUCAAAGGAUGCUUGUCUAUCCACAUACUUCUCAAAAAGUAAUCUCAAACGUGCAAACUAAGUUUUCACAAAGAUAGAAUGAUAUUUACCAUCUUGCACGUUCCAAGUUGAUAGAGAUAAAUACGGAGGUAAGUCCCAAAAGUCCCUGAAAAGUAGCAUGUACAAAAUAAUGCAAGGGUACUAGAAAAAUUAUCGAUUGAAUAAAGAAAAUUAAACUAAAUAACAAAGAAAGUUGUAAAACUCCCCAGAGAUGACAUGUAUUGUUCUCCAUGUAAGAUGAAAAGGCCAUUCAGAUAAAACAUGUAAGUUUCAUGUCAAGAGUAACUUUGUCUGAGCUCCGCAUGAAUAAUUCAGAAGUCUUUCAAAUCAAGGAAGUAGUGAUGACAAAUAUUAAAAGCACUUGCCAAAUGGAGAAAAAACAAUAAAAAGAAAGCCAAUGAUUGUUUUUAGGGCAAUGAAAACCUUCAGGCUCGAUCACAAAGCCUUACCGUAUAACAAGAAUGAGUAAAUUUCUCAAGAAAUAAUAAGCAGUGUAGGAAUAUAGUGUUACCUCACUUAGAUUGUAACAUACAAUCAGCAUCCUUUACUGCUCGAACAAGAUGUGUUAUACGAUAUUGGAGCUUGGCAUUUUCUGCAUUUAGCUGCUUUAGCUCUUUCUGAGCCUAAAAGGGAUAUAAAGCGAGACCGGGUAACUUUUUCAGAACUAUUUGACGUACAAAAAUUAGGAAAACUACACAAAGCACACCUUUUCCCUUUCUAAAGCUUGUUCUGCUUUCACAUUUUCUAGCUUUGACUGAAGCUCACGAACCUUAUUCAAUAAUUCAUCAUUCCCAGCAUCUGAGGAAGCAUAUCCACACGAAGAAAAGGUUAAGGUUGAGUCAAUUAGUAGAUGUCAGAAAAUUCAAAAUGAAUCCACUGAAAUGCAUUGAUCGUUAAACCGACUUCUGUCGCUAGCAAUAGCAGCUUCAAGUCUUUCCAAUCGAGUCUACAUGACAAAGAAGGAAAUUUCAAUCAGUAAAACUCCUAUUGUCAACAGAAAUAAGGACAGAUUUCCCAAACUCUGAUUUUAUUAACAUAUUGCCGUUAAAAGCUUACCGCAUCCUACAAUGAUUAAUAAUAAAAAAAUUAAGUAAAAAGUAGCAUUCGAAUACGAGAAAAUAGUAUUCUGUAUUUCUAUAACUACAUUUACAUACCAAAUACAAAAGAAUUGUAUAAAUUCCACUACACAAGAGUGUGUUUAAUUCCUCAAAGAGAGUUGAAUUGUAUACCAUAGGAUUUAAGUAAAAUUUCUGUAGACAUACAAGUCCAAUUAUUGCUACUCCAAUUCUCACGAGGAACCAAACAAAAACAUCAAACUGAAGAAUCCGAAACUCCAAAUUUAGAUUGCUGGACUAAUUUAAUAUCUGAUUCAUAUAUUUAUAAUUCGUCAACAUGAUUGAUGCAUCAGUAAAAGAAACGUCAAAAUAAAUUCAUCAAACUAGUCUAAGAACUCCUGGUAAAGCCCUUCAAUAAUUGAAUUAAAGCAUGAGAUUUGAUACAAGAAAAAUUAAAGCAUAACAUAUCAAUGACAAGUAAUUAAAAAAAAAAAAGAAAAGAAAAGCACCAAGAUUUAGACCCAUAAGGUGGGGUGUUAAAAGCUAAACAGAAAUCAGAAACCUCAGCCUCAGCAGCUCGCUGGUAAAAAGGUUUCAAAAUUUCUGGUAGGUUGCUUUCUGCCAUUGGGGUAGUUCGUCGGGGCAGUAGCCGAGAGUAAAAAGUGUCUGGUUUUCGGAGAGUUCGAGGUUGGAAAAGAGCACUACUAAAACUUUUUUUCCCCCUCUUAUUUGGGUAUGGGAACGGCUCAACAAAGUUGUACCAAAAUGUACAACACAUCUGUUUGGAUUAGUUGUUUUUUUGAUGUUUUUGAAAAAUUUUACUGUAACAGUUUAAAAUUUUUUGAAAUAUUUGAUAUAGUGUAUGGAUGACAUGUUUUUUGAACUACUGUGUGAGAACUUAGAAAUUCAUCUAUAUUUUCCUUAUACUUCUCUUAUUUUGAAUAAGUUAAAUUAUAAAUUCCCUUUUCCACUCAUUUUACUCUCUCAAUAGGUGUAAUAUAUACUAGAAUCGAGAGUUUACCUUUACUUUUAUAGUUAGCGUAAAUUAGGAUUUUUGUGUAUUUUGGUCAUGUGAUUAUUUAGUGAGAUAUGUGUACUAAAUUUGGUGGAUAAGAGUGAGUAUUAUGUAAGAAGAAGUGUGUGAUUAGAAGUGCUAAUAAUAAGUUAAAACAGAAGUACAAUAGAGUUAAAAAAAAAUAGACUUGAACCGACGUGCACCGUUUUUUGCCGAUUGACUACAUCAUUUAACCACUACUUUCUUACUCUAAUUUUCUUGUUUUUAUUUCACCUAAACCUCCCUAAAUUAAUCCUUAAGUCAGCCACCAUUAUUGACUAAGGAAAAAGGAAGAAAAGAAAAUAAAAACAAAGAAAUGAUCUUAAAGUGACAAGUGUUGGCAAUCCAUGGAAGUUGACCAAGAUAUUUUCCUUUCUUCUAAUCUUUCAUUUUGGCUCAUUUUUCUUCAUUUUCCUUCAUGUUGGCCGAAAUUCUUGGAAAGAAAAACAAGAGGGAAGAAACUGCCAACUACAUCUUGAUUUAGCCUUGUUUGAGUUGAAUCACAAAAACUAAACCGAUUAAACCUUCACUUUGGUGCUUAGAAAACUUGGUGUGAUAGAAAUCUUGGGAGCUAGUAGUUGGUUCUUUACUUUCAAAAGGCUUUUGGAAGGUAUAAAGCUAACACUUUCUUUCUUCUUGCUUAAUCUUGCUAAGUUUGGUAUAGAAACUUUUAGUCUUGGCUUACUAUAGUUGAUUGUUUAGUUUUUAAUGGUGUAACAGAAUGUUUAGAUAGGGUUUUUAUUUUUCAGUUUUGAUUAUUGUUGUAUACCUAGUAAAUGAUGUUAUUAAACUAGGAUAUGGAAUUGAUUAAGUGAUUAAUGGCUUGAUGUUACUUUUUUGAGUUAAAAGUAACAACCCUUAAAAAUACGAUUUUCUUGAUUUUUCAAACCAAAUGCGACUUCCAAAGUAUAAAUCACUUUUUUAUCAAAACUAAAAAAGCGAGUAUGAAUUUUCUAGAGUUUGAUAAGUCAUAUGCUUACUAUUUAAACAAGUUUCAUUUACUUGAUUUUCUUGAAACGAAACUCCUAUGUUUCGAACCCUAGUAGAUUUUAAACUCUUAAAUGAUAUUUUAUCGCAAAUUUAGAUUCCAAUCAAAGAGUUGUACCUGAGCGUGAUUUUGACAAGCACUAAAUCUUUAGUGAGUGCGUCCAAAUAUAUAAUUGAAUUUGAUACUUGAUUUAAAUUAUUUACCAACGUGAUCGGAUAAGAUUUGCGUGGUUUGGUCGAGUAAGGGUGUACUUUAUCGCACUUGCCCUAAUGUAAGAUAUGCUUGUUUAUUUGUUGCAAUUGACUUGAUAUACUUGUGUCUGAUGUGCGCACUCUCUGGAAUUUCAGAAACUCUGUGGCUAGUUACUCGAGUCGAGUCGGCAAGAGUUUGGUCGAUUGGGUAAUGAACCCUGGGUCUCUUAUUUUGUCGAAUGGAGUGUUAUCUUCUCGAAUAAUUGGUAUGCUCGAAUAUUACCAGUCGUGUUUAUUGAGGAUUUUGGACCCAGUAGGGGGUUUGAAUAGUGGACGGAGAUUGUAAUUAAGUGGUGCUCUACGGAACUGGGUACUUGACUUGAAAGUUGACGAAGUAUCAACUACUACUUGAUCAAACUCUGGUGAAGUAACGGGAAUUUGGUUCUUAAGAACCAUUCGUAUCCUUAUAUUUUGAAAUGAUAAUUACUUGUCGUGUUAUUAUUUCUUUUAUGAACUUUUACACUCGCUCAUUUUAAGAGUUCAAGUUUUAAAUAAUAGUCAACUUGCUAUUCGGAAUCUCACUAAGAUUUAGCUCACUCUAUUAGUUUUUGUUUUUCUUACAGGGGGUAUGAGCGAAGGCAUAAGAUUGGUACAGGCUAACGUAGUCUAGUUUUUAAAUUUUUGCGCUUGUACUCGCGCUAGUACUCGACUAAACUUGAAUGUACCUGAAUUUUCAUAUUUUGAUAUAUUUGGGCAUGUAUAAGCCUUGGAGCUGAAUUGAAGCAUUUAUGUAUAUUCUAAGUUUGAGAUUUGUUGUUUCAUUUACUUUCUAUGGUUGUAAGUUAUUCUCUUAAGGUGUGUGAGCGAGUCCUAACGAGAGUUAGGCAGGUGAUCCGCUAAACCCUAGGGUACGUCUUAGGGGGAGGUGGGAUCAUCACAUAAUGUGUAUUACUGUAACAUUGCAUUUGAAAAAUUUAUUUUUAAAAAAAUAAGCAAUCCAAACGGAGAUAUUUGUUCAUCAUGCCGCCAUAAAAAAAUUUAAAAAAUUAAAUUAAAAACACAUGCACAAUAGGAGUAAUUGGAAUAAGUCAGUAACUUUAUAGUACCAAGUGUAUACAAAUGGAAUUUUGGAUGCAACUUGGAAAUUUAUCUACACAUUCACACAAAUUAUGUAUAAAUGUAAUUUUUAGUGUAUAAACAUAUUUUUCAAUUAAUCUAUUCAUCUUUUUAAUCAUUUUUUUUAUUUCACAUUACAAAAAAAUGCUACAAAAUCAAAAUAAAUAAUUUUUUUUCAAAUAAUAGAUAUCGAAAUACUCCCAAUAUGUUGAUGUCUAUUUUAUUAUUUUUACUCCCUGAUACUAUUGCACUUCAGGAAAAAAAUGAAAAAAAGAAACUAAACCUUAAGUUUGUAAGUUCCCCUUUCUGCUUCUUCUCUCCACAUUUUGUACAAUAACUUUCUCCAACUUUUCAUCAACUAAUUCAUAGUUUUUUAAAAUCAAGUAUAAAGUAUUCAUAGAGAGUUGGGGAAGAGUCGAGUUGAAUGGUAAAGUAGAAAAGAUUAUGAGUAGGAUGUCUUGGAUUCAAAAUAUUUCACUUAAAAAAAUAUUCAUAAAGAGUUUGCAAAAGCUAGUACAUAUAAAAUGAACGAGAGUUUUCUUUUAAAAAAAAUCAUUCAAAAAAUCUAUCACAUUUUGUAAAAUAACUUUUUUUCGUUCCCCACUUUUGAAAGUAUAAUUUUACAUUACUUACAAAUUCACUUUGAUCAAAUUUGAUCCCUAUUUAGGUUUUCAACUAAUUUUUUGUCAGAAUCUACCACGUGCCUUGCAUAUGAUCAUUUUUUAAGGCAAAAUUGCUAUUUACAUAAUCCAGUGCAUAAUUUCUCAUAUUUCACAAAAUGAAUUAUUUCGUUCUUCAUAUUUCAUAAAAUGAAUUUUUUCAUCCCCCACAUUUCACAAAUUAAUUUUUUCAUUCCUCAUUAACCAUAUGUAAGAAUAGUUUUUGUUUUUAACCCAUGCAUAUAUCUAUUUGAUUUCACUAUUCAAUAUUUACGGCCUUUUCUCUUUUGAUAAUAAUUCAUUUAUUAAGUUGUAUAGUAAGAUCAUCUAAUUAAUGGGUUCUAUCUCAAAAUUUAUAGUCAUGUUAAUAAAUUGCAGUUUAAAUCUAAAAUUUUUACUCAUUACCUUUAAAACCAACAGUUGAAUUACUUAUCUUGUAAUUAUUUUAAAAUUUGAAAGUGCCAAUCACUUACUUCUUUUUAUCAUAUUUUUUUCAUCCAAUAUAAACAUUCGAUAAUGUUUAGGAUUCAAUGUCUUCUUUAUUUCAAUUUUUGAGUAAAAGAAAACGAACAUGAGUGAAAAAUUAAUAAUUUUAAAAAAUUCAUGUAGAUAUCUAUUUGAUUUCACCAAAACAGUAUAUUCAGGUGAAAUCAAAUAGAGAUAUAUUACAUGCUAUUCGUACUGUUCAGAUGAAAUCAAAUAAAUAUAUACAUGAAUUUAAAAAAAAAAAGUUAUUCGUACACAUAAUCAUUGAAGGAUGAAAAUUUUUAUUUUGUAAAAUAUGAGAGAUGGAAAAAUUCAUUUUCUGAAAUGUGAGAGACAAAAAAAUUUAUUUUGUGAAAUGUGAAAAAUGUAAAAAAAAAUUAUUUUGUAAAAUAUGAGAGACUAUGGAUCGGAUUAUGUAAAAUUUUAUUUGACAAUUUUAUACUUCAAAAAUGAUCACGUGCAAGGCAAGUGAAAGAUUCCGACAAAAAACUAGUCGAAAAUCUAGAUAGGGACCAAAUUUGAUGUCCUAUGAAAGAAGACUCCUCUAUGAAGUAGAUUCUCGCAAAUGAAAGAAGAGCUGAGAAAAUAUCUCUAUUGUUUAAUGUCCUAUGACUCUUCAUAUUUUGUCUUGAUAUGAGCAAGAAUUGUUAGAUAUGGGCAUGCCUAACAUAAGUAAAGUCUUCUAGUUUGUGGUGUCCAAAAUUGAGAAAUUAUCCCGAAAGUUAUUGAAAGUCUUGAGAAUGAAGAUUGAAAGUUUGCUUAUCAUAUUCAAAUGGUGGAAGAGUCAGAUGGAGCCAUUCAUAGUUAAAACGGUUUCACAUUUAAUGAUGGAUUUAUGUUAAUGUUUAAGUCUUGACUCGUUAUGUUAUUUUUCAGUAUUUUAAUGUUAAUUUAGUCAUUAAUUAGUAGUGAAAUAAUCGGCCAAGUUAAGUCUCAAGUAUGGCCAGAUUUAGGGUUUCCUUUUCUUGUUGGAUUUUAUGUUUUGUUAGUCUUUUCAAAGUCAAAUUAGGAGCCUUAUAUUAUUUCCAAAUUGGAUUGGUCUUGGUAGUUUAGGUUUUAAUUAUAAAAAACCUUCUUCUAUUCUAUUGUAAGACAAUUUUGAGAAAUGAAAUAAUAAAAGUGAGUUGUUUUUCCUUUAGAAAGUUCUUUGAUGGAAUGUGAGUUUCUUCUUGAAUUGUAUCAAGAAAUUAAAUUGCGUACUUGUGGUGUUCAAGAAACUGUAUCAAGUAUUUACUUUGAAUACUUGUGGUGUUCAAGAUAAGAUAAUCAAAUCAUCUUGUUUUUUUCAAUCCAAUCACCAAUCAGUUAGGUUUCUAGAGACGGGUUCUCUUUAACUAUAGUAAGAUAGUUAUUGUUUCAUAAUCUGGUCAAAAUAGAUUUUUUCGCUGCCUAAUCGACUUGGUUUUUCAAGACAAGUUCUUAUUAGAUCAAGUUCGUAUCAUAUUUCUACUUGCUCUCCUACUAAGUAAGCGAAUGACCAAGCUAGGCCACAGCCUUUAAAGAGUCUACCCCCAACCCACUCUAAUUCUCACUCAUUACGCCCCUCAGCUCUAGUUGUCCUUUUAGUAAAUUACAUUUUGCUAGUACUCUAUUUUCUCAUAUUACACCCAUUCGUUGGCUUUUUUCUGUUGAGAGGAUGUUGACAAAUUGGUGCUUCAAAAGACUAGUCAUGUAAGAGCACAUGAGGUGUCAUAAUUUCCGUAACUUUGGUAUGGUUCUGGUGCAGGGACCUCUAAAGGAUCUCCUUUUUCAUCCAUUUUUCACCUAUAUAUCAAACAACACAUAUUCCAACAUGUGAUCGAUGGAAGUAAAAGGAUUGUGGACCACAUAGAGAGUUAGACUAAUUAAGCACAAAUUGCAGAAAUGAUUUAGAGAGAGUCUUGGCUACUUUUCCUAUUGUAUGCAUGGUUCAAAGACUCGGCCGAGUCAUCACCGUUUCGGUCCCUUCUGAUACGAUACCGAGACGAUACGAUUUCGAGAUAUUUAACUCACCGAGAAAUCGGUCGAGAUAUCAUCGUGAAUGGUUGAUACACCCGAGUCACUCCGAAUCAUCUCGAGUUAAAUUGAAUCCAACAAAAAACCUUUAGAAAAGAAAAGGAAAACAAUGAUUAAAAAAGUGAAACCCGAAGCCUUUCGAGUAACAACUACUAGUAGGUCACAACACACGAGAAGGAGAAGUCAAUAUCGAAAUCAUUCAUUAGGAAAUAAAAACAAAUUUGCCAAAGUACUGAUCAUGUGAGAAGAUGCGGUAAUAUUAUUUCAACUUCGUUCAUGUAUCAAGUAUAUGUACCUUACUAAAUAUGUACUUGAUACAUGAACACACCAUUAAUAUACCACUUUGCUUUUUUUUUUUUUCAAAAGCUAUCACUUCCAACUUUUCUUUUAAAAGCGACAGCUAUCCAAGGUGACAGAAAAAGUGAGAGAAGGAGGUGCAAAGGACAAGAUGCCCAAAGCUUCAGUGAAUGAGAGGUGAAAUUUGGUGAUACUUUCUCUCAUCUCUUUUCUUAUUUGGACACUUUUAGGGAAGCGAGAUAGUACCUAAAAUAGUAGGAAUCAACUCGGAGAACUGGGAUUUGUGAUUGCCGAUCAAACUUCUCUUUCCUAUCGAAAAUAGCUAGUCGUCAGCUAUACUUGCAGCAGUGGCCCUUUCAUUGCCCUCCCUUGGUCUUUCUUUUGAAAUAAGGACUUUUCCCGUUGGUUAGCAGGUAUGAAUUUAUUUCUUUAAGUUUUUCUAUACUCAUUAGUAGGUAUGAAUUAGAAACGCAUUUGGAUUAAUUAUAGUCCUUAUGUAACGGGUCAAGGUUGGAUUAAUUAUGAUUGUGUCCAAAAUAAAAUUUAGAAAUUUAGAUUUAUCUGGCUAAUUUGUGUUGUUGGAAUUUAUUUUGGGCUAAACACAAGUUUAACACUUAUCUCUCAUAUAAUUCAAAGUACAUAAUAAAUUAGUCCAAAUUUAUUUGAUAUUUAGUGAAAAUAAUAAAAUAACUAUUAUAUCUUUUAAUAUAAAAUUUCUUUCUAGUAAUUAAUUUUAUGAAAUAACUAUUAGUAGAAGUUUCAUGUUUAUUGAAAUAAGGACUUUUUCCGUUGGUUAGCAGGUAUGAAUUUAUUUCUUUAAGUUUUUCUAUACUCAUUAGUAGAUAUGAAUUAGAAACGUAUUUGGAUUAAUUAUAGCCCUUAUGUAAUGGGUCAAGGUUGGAUUAAUUAUGAUUGUGUCCAAAAUAAAAUUUAGAAAUUUAGAUUUAUCUGGCUAAUUUGUGCUGUUGGAAUUUAUUUUGGGCUAAACACAAGUUUAACACUUAUCGCACAUAUAAUCAAAGUACAUAACAAAUUAGUCCAAAUUCAUUUGAUAUUUGGUGAAAAUAUUAAAAUAACUGUUAUAUCUUUUAAUAUAAAAUUUCUUGCUAAUAAUUAAUUUUACGAAAUAACUAUUAGUUGAAGUUUCAUGUUUAUUGACUUUAGCUAUAAUAGUAAUUAAUUAUACUUAUAAUCAUAAUGGUCCAACUAUUUGAAUAAUUUUCUAAAAUGCAGUAAUAAUUUUAAUAAACAUUUAAAAUUUCGAAGUUCUUCUAAUAAAUGAACAAACGAUCAUUAUAGUAGGUUUACAUUAUAGAUAAGAUUUUUAACUUAUUAAUAUAAUAGAAAUAAAUUAUUACUAUUAUAAAAUGUCUUAAACUACUUGUUGUAUUUUUUUCACAUAUCUUUAAUUAUUUUGUGAUGAAAUAAUCAUUUAUAUUGAUACGUGUAACAAUUACAAUGCCGAGCAAGGAUAUUGAUUGGGAACAUGAUAAACCCAUAGGUGGGAAUAGAAAAAUUGUGAGAUACAAUUAUUGUAGAAAAGUAAUGCAUGGUGGCAUUACAAAGUUGAAAGAACAUGUCGAUCAUAUCAUAGGACAAGUUGAAACUUGUUCAAGGGCACCAAAAGAAGUUACAGAUGUAAUAAAAAUGCAUCUAAAGGCUGCUAAGGUUCAAAGAGCUACAAUAAAAAAAGAAAAAAGAAGAAAUAUUAAACUCUCUGCAACAAAAAAAUAUAUAUAGAAUUUCAACAUAGUUGGCGACGAGGAGGACGAAAACGUUUUUGAAAUUGAUGAAGAAAACAGGAUGGCAUUGAAAAAAAAAACAGAUGAAGCAAGCAAUUAGAGAGAGCCAAUACUUGCAAUUUUUAAACAAACAACAAAGGCAUUCAGUAUCUGAGAGUUGACCUUCUAUGUUUAUGUCAAGUAUUAUUUGUAAACUAAAAUAUUAUAACAAAUUUGAUAUCAUUUUAUUAAAUAUAAUUAAAUAAAGUUGUAAUUUAUUUAUUCAUUUUUUAUUUGUUAAACAUUGUGAAUUCUAGGAAAUAUGGGUGCUGACACUUCAAAACCAACGACUUUUGGAAAUAAAAGAGGAUUGUCACAUAAUUUUAGUGUCAGACAAGCGGAUGAAAUGACAAGCAGAAGAAUUGACUCACAUAUGUUUCUCUCGAAACAAAAAUCAGUCAAAUCAAUGUUUGCAGGGAAAAAUAUAAAAAGAGUCGGUAAGGCAAUUUCAAAAUUUUUUCAUUUCAAUGCUAUACCAUUUCAUGCAGCUGACGAUCCUUAUUAUCAAUCGAUGAUUGAUAAAAUUGUCAAAACUGGUUCUGGUAUUAAAAGCCCUUCAGUUUAUCAAAUUGAAAAUGAAUAUUUAGACAAAAAAUUUGAAGAGCUUGAGAAAUAUCUUGGAGAUAUUUAUGAUAAAUUUUCAACUUUUGAUUGUACACUUAUGUGUGAUGGGUGGAGCAUCCAUACAAAACAUCCAAUAAUAAAUUUUAUGGUAUACUGUGAUAGGUAUAUGAUAUACCAUAGUUCAGUUGAUUGUACCAAUGUCAAGAAAAUUGCUGAAUAUAUUUUCAAGUUAAUAGACAAGGUAGUAGAGGCUGUGGGAGAAAAAAAUGUUGUGCAAGUUGUGACAGAUAGUGAAUCUAGUAUGAAAGCAGCUAGACAACUAUUGAUGAAAAAAAAGAAAAAAAUCUAUUCUAGUAAUCUUGCGCUGCUCAUUGUAUAGAUUUGAUGUUGGAAGAUAUUGUCAAGAUAGAUAAUAUAAAAGAAACUAUUACUCAAGGGAAGAAGAUAACAAGUUUUAUAUAUAACAGCAACAAAAUAGUGAAUCCGAUGAAGAUAUAUAUAAGGAAAAGGGAAAUGCUACGCCCAAGUAUCACUAGAUUUGCAACUGAAUUCAUUUCUAUGGAAAGUCUUCUUCGGCAUUCUACAGAACUGAAAAAAAUGUGCACCUCAAAUAAAUGGACAAAGUUCAAUAACACUACCAAGAGAAAAGCAGAAGGUGUUAAGUAGCUGAGUUGAUAUUGUCAGAGAAAUUUUGAAAAAAUGUUAGAAAUGAGCGUGCAAUAAUGGAGCCUCUGGUCAAAGUUUUAAAAACUAUUGAUAAAGAUAAUAAACCAAUAUUACCAAUUAUUUAUGAGGCAAAGGAUAGAGCAAAAAUGGCUAUUCAAAAAUAGAUGGUACAACCAACUUCAUUGUGAUUUACAUCCAACAGGUAAUUUAAAUAUUACAUGCAAUUUAAAUAUGUAAUAUAUAUGUAUUUAUUUAUUUUCUAAUUUUGUGGUUUUAUUAUAUUUAGCAUAUCUUUUGAACCCAAUCCUUCAAUAUUCUGGAACUUGUGUGUUUAAUCUGGAUGAUGUUCGAAAAGGAUUAAAAAAAAUCAUUGCAAAGUUGGAGCCGAAUUUAGAUGCACAAGUUGAUUCAAUAAAUACGGUAUUCAUUUGAUUAUUUUAUUUAUUUAUAUUAAUGAUUAUAUUCAUGAACAAAUUAUAAAAUUUUAACACCUAUGUAUAUAUUAUUUUUGUAGAUCAAAAUUUUUGUAGACAAAAAAGAAGGAUUUGGAAGUGUUAUUGCAGCAAGAGCAUUAUCGAAAUAUUUACCAGAUUUCCACUUAAUUCAUACUUAUAUAAAUAUUUAAAUCAUAUUAAUGAAUUUAAUAUUUUUAUAAUCUUAAAAUAAUAAUAAUAAUAAAUUAUUAUUAUUAUUAUUAUUAUUAUUAUUACUUUGUUUGUUUAGACGAAUGGUGGUUUAACUACGGUGAAUAUGCACCAAACCUUAAAAAAAUUGCAGUGAAAAUAUUGAGUCAAACCUACACAUCUCUGGUUGUGAGCGAAAUUAGAGUAUAUGGUCAUUAAUUCAUACAAAACUACGUAACUGUUUGGCAGUUAAAAAAUUGCAUAAAUUAGUUUUAUGCAUUACAAUAUGCGAUUAAAGGUGAAAAUUUUGAUGCAUCAACCAACUAGCUGGGUCUGUUUGGAUAGAGUGUUAUUUCAAAUAUUAUUUAGAAUAAUUACUGUAGCACUUUUUUGUGACGUGAUGUAUGUGAGAUAAAAAGGUGAUUGGGAAUAUAAAAAGAUAGGUUGGAAAAUGUGUUUAUGAUGCAAACGAAAUAUUAUUUGGAAAAAAUGAGGUAUCUAAACAAACCCAACUGAUGAUUUCUACGACCCAAUUGACUUAAAUUACAUUUUUUCAUCAAGAUGAUAUAUUGGAUGAUUGGAUAACAGAAAAUGAACAACCCACAUUGCUUGAAGAUAAUCUGAAUUGGUUCAACAAAUACGAAGCAGAAAAGUAAGACUAAACAAACCAGUAAGCAUACUGUUUCAUCAUCUUCGAAUAAAAGCGACAGUGUAAUGAUGAUGAUGACAGUGGUGACAAUGGAGAUGGAGGGGACAAUUCUUUGAAACGCAGUGGUGGUUACAAUCAAGAUUGCCAACAAAUAGGCAAUAUUUUAAAACUCGGACCGUCAAUUGAACCAGUGAGGUGAAAGGGUCGAGGUUCAACCGGUCGGACCGGUUCAACCUCGGUUCAAUGAAUUUUUUAAAAAAUAAUUUAGAUAAACAUAUAUAUGCAUAAAAUAAGACAUGCAAUGGACUAAUUUAAAACUUUAUAUGAUGAAAAGUUCAUUAUUUUUGAAUAAUUUGGAUUUUCAAAAAUAAAAAUUUUAAAUUAUAAGUUAAAACAAAUAAAUUUCAUCUCAAUUUCAAUUAUAUAUACCAAAAAAAUCUUAAAUCCAACCCAAAAAUAUCACAAUAUUUUGAAAUUAUACAAAAUUCACGUCUAUGAGAAUUUGACAUUGUGAACUUAAAUUUUAAUUUACGUCUUUGAGAUUUAAAGAUUAUAAUUUAAAAAAAGAAAGUUUGGAGUUCGAAAUAAGUCAAGCGAAUCGAAAAUAGAAAUGCAAACUUGAUAAGAAAACAAAAAAUGAGAUAAAAGUGAGUAGUUGUGGCAUUAAAUAAUUUGGGUUAAAGAAAAAUAAUUCUUUUUUAACUUUUUUCAAUUUAAUGGACAAAAACAAAAUUAAAAGAUAGAAGAAAACAUCAAUAAAUUAAAACUAAAUAGGUUUGAUUAAAAAGGGAUUGACGAAAGAAAAGAUGAGAGAGAAUGAGAGAGUUGAAGAUUAGAAAGAAAGAGUCAUGAGAGAAUGAGAUUUUGUAAAAAAAAUAAAAAAAUGAAAUAUAGAUGUUUGUUUUAUAUAAAUAAGUUAUCAAAAAAGGCAAAUAAGAUGUGAUGGUGCAAUGAUUACUACAUUGGUCUUCUAUUGCAAAAGUCUUGAAUUCGAAUCUUGAUAGAAACAUUUUGCAAACAUUUAAAAAAAGGAAGGGAACUCGAAAACCGGUUUAACGGUUUUCAUGGUUUUGACCGGUUUGACUGGUUUUCUGGCAAAGUCAACCCAAGCAUAGAACCGGACCGGUGCCAUGGCCGGUUCGUGGUUCAACCGAUCGAACCGGCUGGUCCGAUCCGAUUUUCAAAACACUGCAAAUAGGAGGUAUAUUAUAGGUUCAAGGACAAGACAAUUAUUAUGCCACUCAAGAUACUAAUCGUGACUAUCGUUCUGACAUAGAAGCAUAACGUCAAUUCCUCAAUAAUUUAACUCAAUUUUCGAGUGAGGAUACUUUCUCCCACUGUUCAGCGCCACAAAGAUAGAGAAAAGUCGAUAAGCAGAUGCAAAAUUUAGAUAUACACCCAACCUAUGAGUAUGAAUCUAUCCAAAACUGGAGCACUAGUCAAUUUGGAUAUGGUUACGAUCAAUCAUAUGGAAUCACCCCUGACUAUUACAGUGAAUAUGGGUCAUUUGGUGGAUCUGGAUAGGUCGAAAGGUCUACUAGCAUUCAUAGUAGUGAAUACUAUGAAAAAGAAAUAGAUAAAUCUCAUGACGGUUCUUCUUUUGAUUCCAAUAGCAUUGGAUUUUAUGGUCAUGAUUCUACUGCAUCAUAUAGUAGUAGCGAUAGUGUUAACUAUCGAGGGUUUGGAUGCUACCAUCAUAUUUAGUAAUUCAUAAGUUCUUCCGUCUAAUGAUUAUGAAACAUCUAGUCAAUCUUUACAUCCAAUAAAUACACCAGAUAGCUCUUAUACACUAUCUACUCAAGGUCCUAUGCCACUUCCACAUCUAUUUUACCGUUCAUCUAGAAAUGAAGGUAAUUUUGAACCACAUCGUUAUUCUACUUGAUAUUAACAGGUACAAAAAUAUAAAGUAAUAAUAUAUUUUUUACAUAUUUGCCUUUUAUUUAAUAUGAUUUCUUUUUGUUUUUGAUAGGAGAUUGCGAAAUUAUUCCAACUUUAGGCUAUAAAUAAAUUCUUAUUUUGUAUUGUUAAUGGUUAAUAUUACUUUGCAAUUAUUAGUUUUAAAAUUGUGGUUUGUGUUAUUUUAAUUUUGUUUGUGAUGCCAUUGUAUUAAAUGAUUAAAAGUACUUAUUGUAUUUCAUAUGUAUAAAAUAGUACAUUUUACAAAUUUUCUUUUGCUAUUUUUUAUUUUUUAUUUUUUUUGCAUACUUUUUUAUAUUAUUAACAAUUUUUAGAAUAUUAAAUGCUUCAAAAUUUGCGUCUCACUGAAACCGCGACCGAUAUACCAAGACCGACGUGGAACGUUCCCAACUGCGAUCGUGACUUUGAACCUAUGUUUUCAGACUCGAUCCAAGUAUCGACUCAGUCGAGCUAAGGGGUCAAGGAUCAAUGGAUCUGAUCGGAUUCGAUUGGGGUUGAACCAGAUGACGUCAUAAAUAAAAAUAAUUUAAAAAUUAAAAUAUUGUAUGUAAAUACCUAAAAGCAUGUUAAUAUUAAUAAAAGUAUAUUCAUAUAUAUUUGAUGUUUCAAAUAUAUUUAACAAGAAAAUAUAAAGAAAUUAGAACAAUCGAGUUUUCUGAGUUUGACUGAAUUUUUAGAGUAACUCAGACUGGACACUUGGCUGGUUCCCAAUUCGACCGCCCCGCCCGGUCCGGUCUGAGUUUUAAAACAUACCUUUGAGCCAUGAUUGUAUGCGAGAGUACUAGAGUAGAUUGAUCAUCAGCAUCCAGAACUUACAAUGUAACCUUGGCUUAGAGAUAAGAACUUCACUGAAUUUCAGUUGUGUAAAUUUACUGCAUGACCCUGGAACUGCAUUCAUGCUUCAACUGGAGCAGCUAAAGCACAAAGCUAUAUGUAUGUAUAGCUGCUAGGUCGACUUGAACUUAUCUACUGCUAGGAAUCAAUUGGAGAGACUUUCAAUCCUAGGCCUAGUAUUUUUGCACAAGAAUAACCUUGACCAAAAUAAAUUCUGCAGAGAUUUGUUUUUACAGUUCGCAAGAAAAUUGUCAUGUCCACUUCAGUCACCCAUCAAAAUCAUGAUACUUUAGAAACAAACCUGACAGUAGCAUAUCACAUUUUUGCUACUUUCAUAACACAGAAUUAAAGUAUAAAUGAAGUGAUUUUACUGACAAUCCAAAGGUCAACCUGAUUUAGUCUAUACCCUUAUUCAUCCUUUAGUUACAGUUUAAUUCGUUACAAUGCUGCUCAAGGCCGUCAGAGAAGUACUGAAGGUAUGAGAGACAUGGGUUUCUGUUUCUACUCAAUCAUAAGGGUUGUUCAGAUUUCAUAUCCUGUGCUUCUAUAUGGCCCCUUAGCCCAUUUUCCUGGAGUUACUAAACUAGCAUAAGCAGAAGAGAAAGUUUGCCGCAAGUAAUGGAACUGACUUUUCUUUCCGGUAUGAUUUUUAUCCUAAGUGUAACUCAAAACAUCAAUUUCUGACUAUAACUAGAGAGGCUUGAGUAGUCCUUUUAAAAAACAGCAAGCUUUUCAAGAAAAUUACCUUGUUGUUUUAUAGGGCAUCUUCAAAAUGCGGUAGAGCUCAACUGAGAUGACAAGCUUGUUUUACUCGGGAUGCAGUAAAUUCUGAUUGGACUGACUUAGAACUUGGGAAGUUAAUAAAGUGCUCCCAAUUACAAUAAGGAGUAGACGAGUAGCAAUACAAGUUUCCUUUGGUGUGGUAAGGAGAGUAAGGUUCACUACUUUCAUGAGACUUCAUACAGCCAUCUAAUUCCAUUUCCAUAGAAUCAGAAGGAGGUAAAUAAUAUUACUUCUCAUCUUAGUUUUCUGAGUCCCAUGAUUUCCAUUGCUAGGCAAUUGGCUCAUCUUAGUUUUCUGAAUCCCAUGAUAAGUGCUAUUACUUUGCCGGGGUAUGUAUAGUGUAAAGUUUGUUAAAAGAUGAAUUCCCUGCUUUCCUUUUGGUUUUCUAAGUUCUUUGAUUAUGCAUCCAAGUCUUUCUUUGGGGAAAAGUUAAAGACUUCCAUCCAUUGAAACUAUACUCCUAAUGAUCUUCGUUGGAAAUUUGCAAGCUAUGAAACUAUACUCCUAAUGAUAUGAACUGAUACUCUACAUCCAAAUGAACUGAAGUACAAUCUGCAAAUUCUACUGACUUGCUGAUGCCUGGCAGCCAUGGUUCAAAGUCACAGUCGCGGUUGCGGUCACGGCUUGGACCAUUCCUCGUCAGUCUCGGCAUAUCGAUCGCGGUUUCGGUGAGACGGGAAUUUUUGAAAUAUUUAAUAUUCUAAAAAUUGUAAAAAAUAUGAUAAACAAAAAUAAUUAAAAAAUUAGUAAAAAUAAUAAAAAUUCGAGUUGACUCGGGAUGACUCUGAGUGAUUCGGUGUGAUUCGAUCGUUUCAAUCCUUCACGGUGACGUCUCGGCGAGUCAAAUAUCUCGGAAUCGUAUCGUCCCAGUAUUGUCUUGGGCCCUCCUGAGACGGUGACGACUCGGCCGGAUCAUCUUGGACUCAGCCGAGACUUUGAACCAUGUCACUUAAGAAACAACACCUUAACCAAAGGGCGUCUUUACCUCCUAAAUUAUGAUUAGAAAAAAUUGCUUUAGCUAGAUCAUACAUAAACAGAGGUUUUACAGAGGAUUUUAAGGUACAUUUCAUCUGGAAUUAAGUAAAUAAAGAAGCUCAGGAAUGAAUGCAGCAGUGACUGAUGGAACUGCUGCCUUUCUUUUAGAAUUCGACUACCCACACAAUUCAAGGGCUGCAACCUAAAAGUAUCUUCUUGCUGAGCUUUUUUCUCAUACGGACCCUGUCCAUCCAUGGACGAUCUCACAAGCACGAUGGACCAGGUCUACAACAGACCUUAUCUUGGUUCAAGCCAUAAAGAAAUUAUGAUAGAAAUGCAAUACUUAGUAAAUUUCAGGACACAAGUUAAUGUGUUGAAUGAUUGAGUGAUACCAUCAAAUUAUUCUGUUGGAACAUAGAGGUUCCCAAAUGCAAUACUACAUCAGAGGUAAUAUAUGCUGCCAUUAUAAUUACAGGUCCGGUGCCUUUACUGUCCACAGAAUCAAAUAUAAAUCUUUGGGUACGUUUAACUAUUCGAUUACCAUUACUGCAACUUUACAAGAAAGAUUUCCAUAACAUGAAUUGUUACCAUUAUUAAACCCCACUCAGUAACACACUGCAAAAACCCUUCCGAACUUAGGAUUCUACCCCUCUUAUGAUUCAAUCCACACUAGUUAAAGCAAUAAGAAUUGCCUAGUAUUAAAAUAUUAGUCCGUGGAGAACAUAAACAACAUUAGCGGGAUGGAACUAAAUGCCAGUUUUAUGGUUUCGACUACAAAUCCUCAGUUGGCUUCCUAUUCCACCCUAAUCAGGUUUCAAACCCUAAAUCUUGCAAAUCCAAACUAUAUUCGUUUCCCAAAUGCUUCGUUUCAAACUGGCAAAAGUUGGUCUAAAUGCAAAUAUACUUGUAAACAGGCUACAAAAUUUGUUCCCAAGGUGAAGACCUCAACUAUAACUACUACUGAUUGUUCUGUUGAACAUGCAGAUUCUAGUAGUAGUUUAGAACCUAGUUUGCAGUCUUUCGAACAACUGCUUGAUCAUAAAGAUUAUCAUACUUUCGAAGAGAAGGUUGGUUUACUGAUGGAGUAUUUCUUGAUCCAUUGUCGGGUUGUUGUAUUCAUAAAAUGGUUGUUGAGGAUUUCACGUAUUCCUGUAGUGAUGAAGUUGGCAUGCCUGGAUGAAAAUGUUGAGAAAAGUUUGGUAAACCUGGUUGAUGAAUUUAGCCUGAAUGAUGCUAAAGAAGUCAGAAAAAUCGAGGAACACAAGACUAACAAUGUUCCUGUCAAAGCCGUGGAACAUUUUCUGAAAGAAAGGUGCAAGUCGGAUACAGAUUUAGCCAUAAUCUUUCAACUUUUCCUUCUUUCUUUCACUUCUGAACAUUAAUGAUCUUGCUUUCGCUUUUAUGAUGAGAGAGGCACUGGAUAAAUUCUUGUUCCCAGUAAUGGAUGAUGUGAUUAAUAAAAAUAUGUGACGUAGCUGAGGAGAGUGCUCAUAUUGCGAUGGAUAUUAUUCAUAAAGAAGGGGAAUUAGAGCCAUCAACAUCACAAUCAUAGCUGAAAACGUAUGCAGAGGAGUCAAGGGAAAUAUGGGAUAUAUUGGCAACAACUGUGGGAGAACUAGCGGCGGGGUAUGCACACAUGUUAAGAGAAGGCAGGCAGGAGAUCGCAGAAGUUAAGAUACUCGGGACUUUUAGUACCGCAGCUAGUGAAUGUGGUAUAGGUUAACUAAUAAACUCUCCGUGCAUGGACUUGGAAGACAUUGCAAAGGAGUUAGUAACCUCUUUCGGAAUUGGUUUUGUCAGUCCUUCCUUUUCUGAUCAAUUUAAACGUCAUGAGUACAUUUACAAACUUUGCAAAACUACAAAACUGUUUAACAGCAUUUUAACUGAUAUCUUUAAGCUUGGAAUGACGGGUUAUUGGUUUUCCUUUGAGCAGAAGCAGGAUGAGGAAGAUGGUGCAGGCAGAUUAGAUUUGUCAGAAGCAAAGACAACCUUGCAAAGGCUUCUGUAGAAUUAUUCGGUUUAAGAGAGUUGUUACAGAUUACAAGGUGCCACAGGAACUUCAGUACCAAUUCUACUUUCCUAAGACAAUUGGGGAAGUAUUUAGCACUUUCACAUUUCGGUUGUAGGAAUACAUUGAAAGACUGUCGAUGAAGAUUAUUUAGUAAAGGAUAAGAACUUGAAGGAUUGUCUUGCACAAAUAGUACAAGCGUUGAUGGAUAUCUAUGAAGUAAAAGCAGACUUGCGGGCGCCGUAUUCUGAGAAACUGAAGGAACUCAAGGAAAGAGGAAAAUGGUUAAUCCGACAGUCCAUUACAGAACUGAUUGAAGGUCUGGAAAUUCCAUCCAUCACAAAGAUGAGUCUACUGGAUACGACUUCAUCCCAUACAAGUUAUGCUGGAGAGGAUCAAUUGAAAGAAGCUUUGGCGAACUUGGAGGAUAUGGUACUUCAUGCUAGAAGCUAGAACUCCUAAGUAAACUAAGAGUUGAAAGGUAAUGUUAAAGCUUAUUAGGGUUUAUUAGUGCUAUUACUUUGACUUAGUUAAAUGAACCAAGAAACUUAUUUUGACUUGUUUGGUGAAUAUGAGAGGAAUGAUAGCUUUUCUGUUUGCCUCCUAAGUCCUAUUAGGGGCAUAACUUAAAGUAGAUGGUGGAGUAAUAUUCACUUCAAUUACGGCAUAAUUAGCCUGCAAGCAUCUUUCUGUGUUUCUUAAAUUUCAUCAAACAAAGUAUGUAAUAACUAUGAAGUUCAACUUGCUAUCUAGACCAAGUGCUGCAAAUAAAAAUGGCUAGGGGCUGAAAAGUGUGAUUGCCUUUGCAAUAUGUGUGUGGAUUUGGGACAAUCAUCAGCAUCCAGAAGUAACAGUUCAUAGAAUCUAAAAACAGAACCUGGAAGCUAUGGCUUUCUGCAGAGUUCUGUAUGCAUCUAGGAAAUCUCAGUAUGGAGUUUGCUGAUUAAGAAGUAUUUCACUGCAAAUUGCAUUGUGCAUGUUGCUGCAUUUGACUCCAGACUAAAAAAUAAGUUCAAAAGAAGAGGUCACAUUGACAAUUCUAAAUUCCAUCCGAAGCAAUUUAUACACUUAUUCAACUUUAGUCACUCUUUAAUUUGUCGCCCUGCAGAUCAAGGCUGCCCAAGAAGCGAAGGCCUGUAGAAAGCAUGAGUUUGUGCAAUCUCUAUUCUGUCCCGGGGAUCAUUCAGAUUUUCAUCCCUUAAUGCUUGAAGAAUGGCCCGUACUCCUUGUUCUCUGGAGUCACAAUAUAAGCAUUAGCAGAAUAGCAUUAUUUGCUAUGAUCAGAAAACUCGACCUUUUCUUUACUGUAUUGAGGAUAAUAAUUCAGCUCAUAGGCAUACAUUUCCCUCUAUGUAACUUGAAAACUCAGAAGUAUACCCAGAUUUAGGCUUAAGCAGCAUUGAUAAUUCAGCAAGUUUCUCAAAACCAUUACCUUGUUAUUAGUAUUUUGUACAGUGUCUUCAAGAUGGGGCAGAGCUCGACUGGCGCAACAGGCUUGUUAUCCUCAGGAUGCAAUACACUCAGACUAGACUGACUUAGAAGUUCAUAAAAUGCCCCCACAGCAGAGACCCCCUGAAAAUAGUAGAAACUAAUAAUACAAGUUCAUAAAAGUUUGAAGGCUUCCAAUUGCUUGAAAAUACACACUCAAGGCCAUAUUUGGAAGUUCUCAGGCUAUUUUACUGUGUUUAUAUCAAUGGAUAUGUUAUGGAUGCCUAAAUUUUAAAUCGUCACGUCUCUAGGACUCGUAUCAUUAUAUGUUAGAUAUUCUUGGAGGUACAUUUAAUAUUAAUUAUGAGCUACCUAUGAUGUUACAUAGCUACAAAGAUAUGGAAGAAAUGUUAACAAACACAGGAAUUUCCUGUGAGAAGAAUAUCCUCCAGGUUAAGUGCAAGUGAACGUAGCUAUUUAAUUAUAUCAAGUUCCUGUUAUGAGUACAAGAGAGAUACAAAAUAUACCUGAAUUGUCCCUUUGCCGCUGAUGCUAUCCCCCAUAUCCAGGCUUAAUUCUCCCUUGGCUAUCAUCUGACCAUACCAGGCAUUGCGCCCCUUCAACAAGGUUACGUAAGUGUCGGCGAGUAAAGGGCCUGCAAGCUUCUCUGGUUCUUCCGUCAAUAAAUGGGUGAUGAAAAUCAUUUCUGAUGUACAAUGUGCGAAAUAUACUGACUUGCUGGUAGCACUUUCAUUAGUUAGUGCUGCAAUCAUUCCUGAGGAGAAAAUGAAAACUCAGGAUUUGAAUCCAGAAUAGAGAACUGCUAUUUUAAUUUACGACCUGAGAAGGAUUGUAAUUUAUUCAACAGUGAACUAAAUGCAGAAUCCUUUGCUCAAUUAUGUUACAAAUCAUUGACUCUGUAGCCAAAACUCCUUCCCAUUUUCCCAAUCAAAAAGAGAAAAUGGUGCAAGUUUUGUUCCUUCAACAUUCUACUGUCCGUCUAUAUAUGGGCAGGCAUGCUGAAAGCAUCUGAUUGAUACAGCCAUUGCUCAAGUCAUAAACAAAAUGUUAGGGAAUGCCAAUAACCAGCAAAUGUUGCAGAGACAGAACUCAAUCUGCUCAGGGUGUGAAUGACAACAUAAUUGGUGUCACAUGCUAAAAGCAUCUCCACUGCAGCUAUUCUUCGAGUCAUAAACAAAAUGAUAGGGGAUGCCAAUAAUCAGAAAAUGUCGCAGAUAUAGAACUCAAUUUCCUGAGUGAGACAACAUAAUUGGUGUCUUAUCUCAGACGAUCGUGAUACCUGUUUUCUUUUGGCUUACAAACUUCAAUGACAGGGAAAAAGAGAGAGUGAGCAAUUACUACCUCUGGAGACUUGGAUAACCAUACAGAUAUAUAUAUUUUGGAUUUCUUCUGGUUUUUCUAGGGAUAAAUGAAUUCUAGAAUAGCUAAAAGAUCAAUCAAAAGUUCGAUCAUAGUUAGACGAGUCUUUUUCGAAAUUAUUGUAGAAAUUAGACUUACCUGCACCUAUAGCAUAAACAUUCUUCAAGCCGCCCAUAACUUCAUGUGUGACAAGGUCACUGUUGUCCCAUACAAUGAAGUAAGGCUGCCUUAAGAACUUUGCGAGUGGUAUUCUCCAUUUUUCAGCGCCACAAAUUCGAGCAUUAGCAUAUUCCUUGUCAUAAAUCUCUGAGGCAAUGUUUGGUCCACCAAGAUAGAGAAUGUUCUCUAUUGGUACUCCACCUAGAGGCAGAUAUGAGUCGAAUAUAUAAAAACUUUACCACAUGGAUUGGAAAGUAUGAAAGGUGACAUUCAGGUGUCUUGAAGAUAUGAACCCUAAAUUUCCAACGCUUUUCAGUUGAAAUGAUAUGGAAAAGCAUGUCGAAUUAGAAGCAAAAGGAGUCUUCAUUUUAAGCACACUGCUGGCUGUCAUAUUAUUGUCUAAUUAUGAUGUGUGUCAUACAUACAUGGUAGAUCAAGUUUCUCUGGGAUCUUGACCGAAAACUACUUCACUCGAGGAAUUACAGUUUGCGUCUCUGUAAACAAAUUUUUCUUGAGCUCAGGAUCCUUAUGUGCUUUUCCUUGAGUAGAGACGGAUGCCAUUGAGAUCUAUUCAUAUUUGGGGGAUUUCUGGAUACCUUAACGAACUAUAUUAAAAAUCAUCUUAUCUAAACUGAACCUAUUUAAGCAAAGAAAAUCCCAGAGAUUAAUAUCCCACUGAGCCUUCCUUUGCAUGUAAUUGAAGCACUUGCUACGUAGGAAUGAUUAACAAAAUGUUAUAUUGAUUCUCAUUUCUCAACUGAAUUCAAGUUCUAUAACUAUUUCAUAUUUCACCUGUCUGUACUAUUGUUAGAAAUUUGAUAAGCACAAAUGUUUGAAAGAAGUACACACCUACAUGAUGAAAAGAUUCAAGGAUGAUUAAAAAACGCGAAUUAAAAGAUGGACAUUCUUACUUGCACGAAUGAUCAUCUGCGUAGGGGUUAUUAUAUGAGGAACAGGAUCCAGUUCAGCCUCUAUACCCUUAGCCAAAGAAAUAAUAAUCGGCUUCGUUAUUCUUUCUUUCCAGUACCUGCUGAUUUCCACAAACACUUCCUGUGUUUCUGUAGAAGGCAAUCCAUUCACCACAAUAUCGGCAUCCCAAACAGCCUCCUGCAAGUUGGUGACAACCUUCAAAGGACAGAGUGGCGUGUCAAUCAUGUUCAAGCAGAAGCCAUCUUUUAGAAUCUCAUCAGCAUACAGUGUGCGAUCGCCCAAUCUUGCCUCAACAUACUUCAAAUAUGCGCAUCGCCUGAUCAACCUCCUUAAUACAUCCUCCCUUGAGUUGAUUACCUCGAAUAAACGCUCUGCUGUGGCUCUAUCAACUGCCCUUCCUGGCCUUCUCCAUAUCCUGAUCUGAACCUUAUCUCUGAACUGGCCAUAGCUAUCUUGGAGCAAAGCUGCAAAAACACUACCCCAUGCACCUGCUCCAACGCCAACAAUCCUCAACAAAUCACCGUCAGCCUUGCCUAACAACUGUCGAAGCUCAUCAAGCUUCUCUUCAAAACCAUUUUGAUGCUGCAUUGCACCAUUCAAAUGCACCUUAUGAUUCGCCACUUCAAUACUUCCAACCAUCAUUCCUCAACCAAAGUUAGCACAAUUAAUGAACAAGGGUAAUGUGGAGAACCAAUCAAAACCUACGGAUAUGAAGAAGGGCUUCAAAAUUGUACCUAACCUUUGUUUUCAGGUCCAAAAUCUGAUUCUUGUUACUACUAUAAAACAAUCAGGGGCUUAAAUUAACAAUGAGAUUUUUCUUGUGUUGCAUCACCAAAAUCCCAACUCAUUUGAUUCUUCUCACCUAAACAAGAUAUUCCAUGACAUUCUAGUUUUACCCAAGAAUCCAACUACAAAUGCUCAAGUCUUCUCAACUGCGCAAUCCUUAUAUUGGAAUACACUUCAAAAUUUUAUAUGAUCUUUCUAUCCCAGAAAUUGAAUUCUGAAGAAGUGACCUGCCCUGAUGGUCAGGAUAAGAAGAGAACAGAUUAUAUACCAGUAGGAUCUUCACCUAAAUCAGAACUAAUCUUUCAUCUCCCUCCACUCAGAUUUUCAAACCAACCAUUCUAUUGUAUUUAAACUUCUUCUAGACCAAGUAAAAGUGACAAAACCGGAUCAAAUGAAUGAUGUAAUUGUCUAUGCAAGUUUCUUGGUAACCAGUGAAUGGAUAUAUAUAAUUGACUAAAAUUGUGCUGUAAAAUAAAUGCAGCCUUGUACUAUCCGCCCGAGUUAGUUCAUCUACCAAAAAGAUAAAACCAAGAAUAAACAAAGCAAGCAAAAGAAUUCUAACCUUCAGUUGUUGAUUGCUGCCGGGCCGAAUCAAAACUCAAGAAAAUGAAUAAGAAAAAAUAUCAAUCAAUUAACAAUUUCUAGUCAUGUAGACCCUGCAACUUUUGUUGUAAGCUAAAGAAUUUCGUGUGAGGUAGAAACAUGAAAAUGGCAUGUAUACGAGUAAUGUAUAAGUAUUCUGAAACAAGAAUCUCAUGAUUUCAUGAAACUGAAGUUUGAUUUGUCAAAGAACAUUUAUGGAAACUAUAUACAACCUCUACGUUAAUUUCUUACCAAAAUAUGUGCUCAUUUAUAAAUUAUGUACCACAAAUUUUUUUGGUGCUAAUAAAUGUAGCAAGGGAAAAAGAGAGUUAAAUGUUGGAUGGAAAUUGUUGAAUUGGGAGGGGUGCCCCCCAACCCCAUGGCAUUAAAGAUUUGAUGAGGAGGAGCUGCCAACUUCCCCAACGGUCAUUAAAUUGGAGGGAAGGUGGUGACCUGACUUGAGGGCUUUCUAGGACAAUGAGGAUUUCUUUUCUUUUCUUUUCUUUUUUUUCCCCUUUAUCCUUCUCUCCAAUCUUUUGCACCUAUAUCUCUACUCCUGCUUCUACACUAUGUGAAAGGAAACAAGCCCAACUGUAUCAUUGGGAAUCAAUGGAUGCCGAGAUUCGAAAUCUACUCCUACUCUUACGGUCUUUGUGGUGGUCAACAGCCAAAUGGUACCGUUGAUUUUUUUUCCUUUUCUUCUUCCAUUCAAUCUGAUGACAGAGGCUUCUUUCCACUGCCAAUUCUCUCUCUCUCUCUCUCUCUCUCUUUAAGAAAUUGACUCAUUUUUCGAACCGACAAAUGUAUCAUUGCUAUUAGUAGUUGUCAGAUAAAGUUUUGGUUCCAUAAGUGGCGAACCGACAAAGUCCAUAAAUCACUUACAUAUCGGGUCGGUCUCACCUCAAUGUCUAUGAAAUUAAUUUGGCGAUAUUAAUGGUCCGAAUUUGCCAUAAAGAAAUUUGGAUCGUUCAUUCAAAAUUUGCAUCGAAACAGUUCAGAUUUCUUUCAAUUUUUUUAUGAUAAAUAAAUGAAGGGGGACAAUCGUAGGGGUGCAUUUUGCUGGUACCCGUCCCAGACCAGUCAAUCGCCUCACCAUUUGCAAAUAGCAAAACUGAAGAAUAUGUAUCAACUAUAAGUAGCUCUCAUUCCUUCAAAUGAUUCAUUUAUGUCCAUGCCUACAUUUGCAGUUAUGUGUACAAGUCGUCGAGUCUGGGUACGAUUUAGGUCUGAGUUUACAUCCGAGUUUUGACGACAAGAACUCAGAUCAUACAUAAAUUCAUGAUUGUCUUUCAUCGUCCGGAGAAGGGUUAGGUUGGACAAUAACGUGGGAAUGAUUGAUUAUAAGUAGAAAGUUCUGAAUUUACUUAUUAUGAUAUUACUAGCGUAGAUCCACAAAUUUAGAUCUUUCCGAUGGAUCGGUUAGUUUAAUAAUAUGUUUCCCUGCUGUUUCUUUUUCUUGAGCAUCAGACGGGACGGGGAAUUAGCCCCUAAAUCAGAAAAAUUAAUAAGAAAAAUAAUAAACAUAAACAAGAAGAGUAAGGAAGUGGAUCGCAGUUGAACUGCCAUUAAUAGAUCAGACGAUAUAACUCACGAUGACAUAUAUGAAUAAUAGAUACAUAAUAUAUAAAAGCAAACCGGCCUAUUGGUAUCCCUGAGAGCAAUCCAUACAAACAGAUAUGUCCGUGUUUUAAUUCCUUUCGUGGAAUCAAUUUUAAAUAGCUUGUCUUGCUUGAUAAUAGGUGAAUAAUAGGUGAAGUGGGUGGAUUGAUUUUAUUGGGGUCGUGUCCUAGAAGGAUUAGGCAACAAAAUCUUUCGAGAAGUACAAGUUAAAGACUAAGCGUCCCGUCUGAUUAAAAACAAUUAAACUAACCGAUCCAUGCUAUCAGAAUCAAUUAAUUGUUAGGGUUAGAUACGAAAUGUUCCUUGCUAUCAGAAAUGAGCAGUAAGUAAAUCACCCUCUAUAUCCUUCAAAACAAAAAAAAAAAAAUACCCUCUAUAUUCAUAAAAUACACACAAUAUUUCUUGAAGACUAAUAAAUAUGUAUCACAUAAAAUUACCCUCAACGUUGUUAGCGUAAUUAAUGGCUUUGAUAGAACAUUUUCUCACAAGGAUAAAGUUGUCCUAAAAAUUGCUAGUACCUAAUAGCUCCAUGUUAUGUUGUUGAUGCUUUCCGAUAUGAAGCCAAAACUGCUCAAUUCUUGCUAUUAUUUGGCUACACAGACAUAAAAUUCUAAUCCUAAAAAAUGGCAAAAUAACAAUAACACAAAGAAGAUAUUCAAAAAAAAAAAUACAACAAAAAUGAAUAUCGACUCUUAGAACUGCAUAUACAUAAACUUUUUACACAAAAACAAGAAAUAUAUAUAUACAGUCAAUUUUUUUUAAAGUGGAAGGUUUUAAAUUCACAACCUCCUCUUCUUACGUUACCAUCCAAUCUAACCCUCCUACAAGGAUAAGGUCAACUUAAGAAAAUGAAGAUGUGUAUGAAGUACUAGAAAAUUGUAUGAAAUGACAUUUUUAUCACACAUGUCAAACAAAUUUUGCAAAAUGACAUGUUUUCUCGUCCCAUGAUUAUGAUUUUCUUCUAAUGGAAAGGUAAAUUUGAAAUGAGAUUUUUGUCCCCUUUGGCGACGAAAGAGUAAAAUUGGCACUGUAUUAAUUAUCCAUGGUGUAUUGGUCUUUUUCUUGUUUGUGUAGACGAAAAUUUUAAAUUAGUGUUUGAUGGAGUCUACCUGUGUGAGAUUAUUUGCUACUCAUGCCUAAUUGCAGUUGCAGAGGCAUCGUAUUUUCGUAUUUAAGCCUAAAAUUGAUCAUACGAAACUAUCCAUUUGCAAGCAAAAACAAUCUAGGGAUAAUAUCAGAAAUCUCCCUUGAGAUUUCUCUUAAUAUCAUCUAGUACUUUUAAGAUUUUAAAAAUAUCACUUACAUUCUCUCGUAAAUAUAAAAUAAUUAUAUUAACCCUAACUUGGUACAUAAUUUAUAUAUCAAAUAAAUGGAACUCCAAAAAUUAAAGAAAAAAAAAUAAAAAGUCACAUUCUUCUCUUUCCUAUUUCUCAAACAUUCUCUUUUACUUAUUUUUUUAGAUGACUGUGCGAUUUUUUUAUUUAUAAAUUAUAAUACAUUGAAUAUUAAUUAUCUUUUUCUUUUUGUGAUUAUGAUAAGGUGGGGUAUGAUUUCUUUAUUUAUUUUGAAUUGACUUUUAUAAUAAUUUAGUACAACUUAAAGGUUUAUGUGAUGGGUUGAAAAGAGAUUGAGGAAAAAAAAAGUUCGUAAGAAAUCUGUUUUAAGUAUGUAGAAUUGAAUUGGUGCUCGUAUAUUUCUUUAUAAAUAUUUUUUAUUUUUUAAAUUUAUAUUGUCAUGGGCUAUAACUUUGUGAUGUGAUGCUACAACUAGAGGUUUUUUUUUAGAUGGUGGUUCUUUUUUUUUUUUUUUUUGAGUAAACAAAGCGAUUUAAGAAUAUUUUUAUUUAGCAAAAUUAGCUAAAGAGUAGUUUGGGAUUUUUUUUAAAUUUUGCUACACAAAUAACAAAAGUAAGGAAGGUAAGCGGUAUUUUUCAAACCUUAAAGAGCGCUAAAUGAUAUUAAGAGAAACUAUAUGAUUUGUUUCUGAUAUUAUCCCAACAAUCUAUGCUGCCUUGUUACUUUCCAUUCUGUAAUUACAUAUUUCCAGUUCAGUCCCUCUCCUCCGUCCCUUGAGCCUUAGCAGCGAGAGAUAGAGAGUCUGAAACAUCAGUGUAGCUAGGGCUGUCAACGGGCCGGAUUCGGGUCGGAAUUCAUUAUUUUGUAUCCGGACCCGAAUUAUUAUACCGGAAUCGGACCCGAUUCAUUUAUCCGACGGGUCUUUUAUUCUAUGUUUCGGAUUCGGAUUCGAUGGGUCCCGAAUUCGGGUCGGGUCUACCCGCACAAAUUUAACAAAAUUUACAAUUUCUAAUAAAAAUGAGAAAAAAAUAUAUUUGUAAACUAAUUUCUAACUAAUGCAAAGAAAAAACCAAAUAAGAAAAGAAAUCAAAUUGACUUUACUCAAAUACAUCACCCUAAUCAAAUUAUAUUGAUAAAUAUAUAUUUUUUAAAUUAUUAAUUCAUUUAUAUCCGGAUCCGGAUCUAAUACGGGUCGAAAUACUAUAUUCCGUAUUCGACCCGUUUUUUAUUUGACAAAACGAAUUCGGAUCCGGAUCCGAAAAACGGAAUUAAAUCUCUAUUCAUACUCGCAACAAUUUCACUGAUCCGGUUCCGGAUCCGGGUCUAGACCCGACCCGUUGACAGGCCUAAGUGUAGCUAGUUUGGGAGUUCGGAUUUCAAAGGAAUAAAAAAGAAAGAAAGAAAAAGGUGAAUUUUCCUACGUUUGGGACAUUUAAGUGAGACGGAAAAGAAAAGAAACGGAUAUUGAAGGGAAGCCAAAGCGCUGCUACAGUCCAAAAUUUUUUCUAACCAAAACUCGCGGAAAGCGAAGGAAAACUGUUGAAAGCUUACAAAAUUUUUUCAAAUUACCCAUUUUAUCCUCACAAAGGUAUUGAAUAAAAUUUUAUUAAUAUAUAUAUCCAAAAUCAUUCCAUUUCGCAACAUUAAAAUCUCCUCUCUUCUUCUCUUAUUUUUCCUUUUCUCUCGUAACUUACCCUUUCUCUUCUUAUCUCUUCUUUUCUUUUCUAUCCUCAACUCACAAACUAGCUGACUUCCAUUCCCUUUUCGUCUUGGAUAGAGCAAUCAGCAAACUCACUGUUGACUCCACAAUGGAUUCCAAACCAACAGAAAUCAGCAGCUCAAAGAUGUUUGAUGGGUUCAACAAGAGAUACAAGCACUUCAGCCCCGCAUUGGGAUGUUCCAUGACUUUCUCAAUUUACUUCCCACCUUCUUCUAACCCUUCUGACAAAUUCCCUGUAAGUCCCCCUCCUUAUCUUCUUCUCCCUCCCCCAAAACCUUGAUUUCCUGAGCAGACCCUUUUCUUAUUUCCUUUCAAGAUUUCUUUAUCUGCAUGAUUUCCCCAUUAGGAUUUUACUUCUGCAAUUUCUGCAAAGACUCAAUUUUUACCUAUUAAAUUUGUCUGUUAUAUCCAAAGAUUCCAAAUGCUUGAAAAGAAAAAGAAAUGUUCUUUUAUGCUUUUUUGAGUUAUUCUUUUUCUUUGUGGGUUAAUAAUGUCAUCAUUUCUGAUACUUUUUGUUUAUUUUUUUUAGUGUAAAUAACUAUUUACUCAUUAUAUUUUCUUUCUUCUGUUUUUCUGGUGUUGGAUAGAUUUCUUUUAUUGAAUAUUCGAGUAGUCAGGCGGAAUUGAGUUUUCUUUGAUGCUUCUGAAUAUGAUGAUUGUUGUUGGUUUGCUGUAUAUUGGAAUGCAAUCUCGCUCACAUAUACAUACUUACUGUUUAUUUAUGUGUUAAGAGACUCAUUAAUAAGAUAUGGAUUAUGAUACAAAUUUUUGUCUUACCACUUGGUAUUACUAGUGGCAGUCUCUUUUGUAGUUUUUAGUUGAUGACCUACAAGAGAGUGUUUCAUGUUUCGUUAUGUUGUAUGUAGUGUUCCUACCCAUUCUGUUUGACCACUCAUUUUGUCUAAAAGAAUACAUCUUUGCAUUUGAAAAGAAACAUUUAUGCUUGUGGAGAAAUAAAAGAGGUGAUUUACUGCAUAUAGUCUGGAACCUUUUGUUGGAGACACUUCUUUACAUGCCCAACCUUGUUGAUUUGUUUGGUAUAUACCAUCAGCGCAGGAAAUGUUUAAGAGAAUAUGAAUGAGAUCAAUGCAUCAAUAUCAACUGUAAUUAAUUCACCUAUGGUAGAAGUUUGAUGAUUUAAUAUGCAAGACAUAAGGUUGAAAGGGCUAAUGUGAACUUUUAUUUGGAUUGACAGGAUACAUGCUAAACCUCUUUCACUCUACAGUUCUUAAGAUAUUUUUUCUCCUUGAUAUUCAUUGUGAUGUAAAUUUUGGAAUCAUCCCACAGAGCACUGAGAUGCUGUUUGAACUUUUUGGUCCAGGUACUUUACUGGCUCUCUGGUCUUACAUGCUCAGAUGAGAACUUCAUUAUCAAGUCUGGUGCUCAAAGAGUUGCUUCAAUUGAAGGUGUUGCUCUGAUUGCUCCAGAUACAUCUCCAAGUGAGUCAAUUUUUAUGUUGAAAUACUUUUCAGAAUAUCCUAUAAAAGAAUUAGUCACUGAUGGAAGAAUCCUCAAUUGUCAUAUUAGUUUCCCUCCCAAAUUCCAAAUCUUUGGCUGCAUGUAAGCACUUGCGAAGGCCUAUAUAUGGUGUAGUGAAUGAGAGGUGAGCAAAGACAAGUUUUAGGGCUUAAAGAAAAGGCCAAAGACUUAGGGGACCACUAAACUUCAUCCAUCAUACACUUUUGGCCACCAAACUAUUAUUUGCUUGAAAUAACAUGUUAACCUUCUUAAAUAAGAAACUUUUGGUCCUUCUGUGUGUCAUGAAGUUCGUUUUUCUCCAUUAUGCUUGGGGAACUUUAGUACAUACAGGGAAAAAAUGAAACAGCAAUCCCUCUGUAUUUGCUGAAGUUAUAAAAUUUUUCCUAUUAAUCUAUGUUUUGUUUUAUAAAAUUGAGCUCUUCUGUUAGUGCUGGUCAGCCCUGUUAUCUGUCUUUCCCACCUUUCUCUACCACUUUCCCUCCUGGCAACUGCAGCAACCUCCUAUACUGUGCCUUUCUUCCUCCUGCAUUUGCCUUUCACACAACUGUCCUCUUCCCUAAAGUUCAAAUACAAUAUUUUUAUUCUUAGAAGUCUAUGGUAUUCAGCACAGAAUACUUUCAAAGUUGGGUGGACUUGAGAUCAAGUGAACUGAGAUAGCCAACACCAUGGCAAUAAAGAGACCUAAUAAAUUAAGACUUAGGGCACAAAGUAUGCUUGUUAAUCUAAGGAACUCCACGAAGUUAACCAGAACCUGUUCUAGUUGCACUAGAAUUUGAAGCAAGCAAUAGCUAACGUAUGUGCAAGUCUUUAGAGCUCCACUGACAUAUUGAAGUUUACAGGAAGAUUGUUGUCUUAAAUUUCAGAGGGUGCAUAGGCAUUAUGCAUUUUCUAAGUAACAUUUCAGAUGCUAAGGCUACAAAUUAUUGUCCAAAAAAAAAGGCUACAGAUAUUCACUAUGUAGUAUUUAUGAUUGCUAAAGUAAGUGAAUUUCCACAAUUCGAGAGGGUGCCUUAUUUUUUGCAAUCAAAGCUUUAUUUAAGUGGGUCUUUCAUAAAGGAAGUAUCUUCAUUACUUGCCAUAUAUGCAUCCUUGUCUUUCUAAUCUAAGGUGCUUUAAAGAGAUCAAAAAUUUGCCUGGUUUGCAUUUUUUAAAUGAAAUCUCUAAAUUCCUCCAUCUUAAUUGCUGCAAAUUAUUAAAGUCUAACCUUGGAAUGAUUGCAAGGACUUUGUGGCCACCUUUGGGGAAUAUUCUGUAUAGAAAGAAAAGGCAAAGAGAAAAGGAAAAAGGCCUUGCAUUCUUAUAGAUGUUAACAUGUGUUUUUGUUUGAAUUAAAGGUACAAAGCUCGUAAUAUGAUUGCCAUUUUUGCUUUUUGGGCCAUAGCCUUUAUGUUAAAGAAGCAAGACAAAAGUGACACAUAUGCAUUUGAAGUGAUAUCACACUUGAGGCUUGUGUUGAUUGUACAAGCCAGAUUCUUAACAUCUCGUCUGUUUGUUACAGGAGGCCUAACUGUCGAAGGGGAAUCUGACAGCUGGGAUUUUGGUGUCGGUAUGCAAUAGUGAAACUGUUCUUAAUGAUAAAAAGCUCAGAAUCAUGUGCCUGGAUUUCUUAUGCACUAGUGCCAUCAAUUUAGAGAGAAUGUUGUACACAUUCAUGCCCUGUCAAAAGAUGCACUAUAUUUGUGUUAUCUCCUGGGUUUUUCAUUUGUUGCAACUGUUGCUUUAUGUUUAAGCGUUGAGUUUCUAUUGAAUUUUACUGUGUUUUGCUGAAAAUUUAGUUGAUAUAUCUGGAAAACAGGUGCUGGGUUUUAUUUGAAUGCAAAGCAAGAGAAGUGGAAGAAUUGGCGUAUGUAUGAUUAUGUUGUCAAGGAAUUGCCGACUCUCCUUAGUGAAAACUUUCCUCAACUUGAUAUAUCUCGGGCAUCCAUAUCUGGUCAUUCUAUGGGUGGUCAUGGAGCACUAACAAUUUACCUGAAAAAUCUGGAAAAAUAUAAGGUCAUUUUUUUUCUUGGUGAUAUUGCCUUCUUGUGAAGUUAAAAAUAAUAAUAACAAUAAAUAAAUAAAUCACUUCUUGGGAAUUUGAUGUUGAAUAUUAUAGCUGCAAGAGAGGAUUUGUUAAUGAAUGAUAGGUCUUCUUGUUCCAAUUUGAGCUCUGCGAGCCUUCAGAUGUUAAUCCUAUAAACAAAAAUUCAAAAAAUGUCUGAAAUUUACUGCAUUUUCCAGUUCCCUUGGUGUUCUCCUAACCAUAGAGAACAAGUUUAUGUUCUGUUUCUCUGUUAAUGAAUUCUUUAUUGUCAUUGAUAUUUUUCUCCAUUCUCUCAGUCUGUUUCAGCUUUUGCACCAAUUGUCAAUCCUAUGAAUUGUCCCUGGGGCCAGAAAGCUUUCACAAACUACCUGGGUGAAAAUAAAGCUGACUGGGAGGUACAAUCUUGAGUGUUACCCUUUGGCAUGACAUGUUGAAUUGCUGUUAAGUUGACAUCUUAGAUGUUAUUGCUACGGUAACUGUGCAGGAAUAUGAUGCCACUUUGCUUGUAUCAAAAUUCAAAGAUGUUUCCGCCACCAUUUUAAUUGAUCAGGUAACAACUUAAUGUUUGUCAUUAAAUUAAUUUUGCACAAAUAUAUCAGACUUUUAUCUUUCUGAUUUUUCUAGUUCUCCGAGAAACUGUGCACCCUGAAAAAUAAUAGUCGGGUAUAUUUUCCUUUUGUUCCUGUUGCAUUUUACAAUUACCACUUCAGAAUUGGUCUCACUGGCUGUGCCUCUUUUGGUGAAUAUUGAACUUUGCACUUCACUUUCAAUAUGCGGAUAAUUAUCAAUGUAUCACUCUAUAAGCUAUGAGUUUUAACUAUCAGGAUGACAUCAAGAAUGGUCUUCUGAUUUUGUUAGCAGCGCGCACAUUUCUUUGUAGAAUACAAGAACCAAAACAAUUGAUAAUUUUGAGUUCUUGGCUGCAAGAUAUCUUAUAGCAUUUUGGACAUGAGCUCGAGAGCUUAGCAGUGGUACUUGUAGAAGGUUUUUUCUACUCAUGUUGAUAUGCUUCUCUCUGUUGGCAUCGACAAUUUUUCCCUCGUAUCUUUGCAUGUUAAGACAUAGGGAACCGCCGCUCCAUUGAUCAAGUAUGCUGUACUGAAUCACGUCGCAUGCAGGGAGAGGAUGAUAAAAUUGUUGGUCUUUCGUUGUUGUAGCUAUGUGGGAAAGAGACGAAUGAGAGAGUUCUUAGUGAUUUCCUAACCAGCAAUUUCACCUUUUUCAGGGAGAGGAUGAUAAAUUCUUACAUGAUCAGCUGCUGCCAAACAAUUUCGCAGAAGCCUGCAGGAGUGCCACUGUUCCACUUCUCUUGCGUAUGCAGCCUGGUUAUGAUCACUCCUACUACUUCAUUGCCACCUUUAUCGAUGAUCAUAUUCGACACCAUGCUCAAGCCCUUUCUGUAGUGUAAUGACACAAGUAUAGGUUGUGAAGCUUUCAAGUCUCCUGGCUUUAAUUUCAAAAUGUUCUGAGCUUUUAGUUGCUCAGCUACUUGGUUUCCGAUAAAUUGUUUCCUUGGAGACCUAUUCACACUCGGAUGGGGUGUGCAGGAGUAACUUGGGGGGAAGUGAAAUGCCUUUAAUAUGUUAUAUUGAUCUUUGACUUUAAAUGGUUUGCCUUUUGUUACAUUUUUAGUCGAGUGCAAUGAUGAAAAGCUUGUGGGUGCGCUCUGAGCUUUAUCAAAAUUCAAUGGCUCUGUAUGGAUCGCGUUGUUUUCCACGUACUUAUUUUUAGAAUCCACAUUAAAAACAUUCCAAAAUUUAACCUUCCCCCUUCCACCCCCAUCCCCCCUUCCUUUUCCCCAAGAUUUUGGUAGCGAGGACGGGAAGGGAGGACCAGGGAAGGGAGGGGAGGGGAGGAACGGGGAGGGGGAGAGGGAGGGACGCGGAAGGAGUAGAAGAGGGAGGAGGGAGUGGUGGCAGUUGGGGGUGUGUGAUGCUCGUGGAUGAUUAUGACAAGGAGAGUCAAAAAAAUUUAACCACCCCCCCCCCCCUUCUCCUUCUUUCCCCCAAGAGGUUGGUCACGAGGACGGAGAGGGAAGGGAGGAACGGGGAGGAGGAAGGAGGGAAGAGUAGAAGAGGGAGGAGGGCACGGUGGCAGCUGGUGGUACGCGGUACUCGUGGAUGAUUAUGGCAAGGAGAGUUAAAAUUUUUUUUUAAAACAUCUAACUAAAAUUUUAAAUUUUAAAAAUACCCAAAAAGAUAAUUAGAAUGACAAGUUUUUCACGUACAGUACUAAUUUUUGAGAAAACACAUAAUUCAUAUAGAGAUAUUGUUCCUGAAUUCCUUUCUAAUCUAUUAUUCAAAUAUACCUGCCAAUAAUCCCUAAUUUAAUAUGCAAAUACAUUGCCUUGUGCUCCAGCAUUGGUGACCAAAGGCCAGCACAAAUUUUUGUCUCCAAGGUUUGCACGCGUGCUGCCCGGAAAUGCCUCAAAAAGACCUUACACGCUCAUCUACUUUCUCAUCAUCAGAGCCUAGUCUCAGAUUUUUGGAUUUCAUUCAAUAUAUCAUGUAUGAAAUGGGAGUUUCCAUGCCCACAACGCUCGUCAGCAUCAGUACUGGACCGGUUACAAAAUUCAGUUCUCUACCAUCUAACAAAAUGCUUUUACAGCCCCUAAACGAGACAAGGAUGAGCCCUACUAUACAUCUUCUAUAUUUCCAUAUAUAAUAGCAAGGUAUCAGGAAGUAAAUAUCCUACCCAAUAAUCUAAUCUGUAC